AAUAUAUAUAUAUAUAUAUAGAGAGAGAGAGAGAGAGAGAGAGUAUGGCUACUAUACUCUUAUAAGUAUUGGACCUUUCGUACUCAUAAGUUAUUUUCGAUGAUAGGACUUCCGAAUCGACGAUCUACUCCGUUAAAUAUGAUCUAGAGUAUCUGAAAUUUUUAAAAAAUAAAUUUCACAAUUUUUCGAAAUCAUAAUAAAGUCCAUCAGACGGAUAUAAAAUGAACAGUCAAAAUCGAACGACGUCCUAAAAAUAAAAUAUCGGAUCCCUUAAUUUAAGAUCGAAAUUAUUGAUCUUUAUCUAGGUAGUAAAUAGAAUUUUCUAUCAACAAUUCAAUCUAUUCCAAUUCUUUUAUACCAUUAAACUAGCAACUAUCCCGUACAGGCCGUUAAAAAUUAUCAAUUUUGUAAGCUUUUGAUCGUAAGGUGAAUAAUAUCGAAAAAUUAUAAAAUUUAAUUGCUAAACAUUUUAAAUGCUCUAGAUAACGCUUAAUGGUGUGAAUCGUCGAUUCGGAAGCGUUAUCAUCAAAAACAACUUAUGAGAACGAGGGCGAUCGUACUCAUAAGAGUAUAGUAGCCGGACUAUAUAUAUAUAUAUAUAUAUAUAUAUAUGUUAUUAUACUAUCAAUGGUACCAAAGUCUUAUUACCACCGAGUUUCCUAUUGUUAAAUCUACUUUUUAAUCAUUUUCACCCGUUAGAUUAAAUUAUUCAACUAACCACCAACUCAACCAUAGGAGAUCACUAUUAUUCUAACCACACAGCUUUUCAUUCAACGGCCGAAAACUCACUAGUAUCAGACGUUUGGUACUAUCAAUAGUAUAGUAGCAAAAUUCUAUAUAUAUAUAUAUAUAUCUGCUCAUAAGCUUUUUGACACAUUUUGCUUUUUUGCUGUAAAUGUUUUUCUGGGCAGUGACUUUAUAGAGGACUGGGUGAAGAUCUGCACGCCCGCGAGGGACAAAGUGAAGAAGGAAUAUGCCUCCUUGCCAUUUGCAGACCAGUGCACCAAAUGUGAAAAGGUACUUUAACCUACAAUAAUAAUAAUAAUAUAUUAUUAUGCACAAUUCCUUGCCUUUUUCUAAACAACAACAAAAAAAAAAGAAAAAUAAAAAUUGAAGAACUAUCUCCUUUAAUAAAUGUUCGAUUAGUAACUUCACUCGAGUACAAAGCCUAUUGAGCCAUUUAAUAAAAAUUAGGAGAUUUUAUUGUCAAAAUUAAAAGUUUGGGGGUCUAGUUACAAAGCGCUAAACUUUAGAGGAACUAUACACAAUUAUUUUUUUGUCUUUUUUAUUUUACGCAUUUUUUAUUUUUUAUACACACUAGGCCUUCUUCUAGCCACGUUUCUCUUAUAAAAGUAUCCCCCUCAAAGAAGUGGCCAAAAUGUAAAGAGCCCUCAAUGAUUUUUUGCACGAUGACGAAGGAUCGUGCCACAUGUAUAAGUUCUGUCAAUAAUAAUAAGAAAGCUUUGCAUUUUUGCUUUCAUUAUAUAAAGCAAAAAGAACUUUUAUGGACAUAUUAUUUUAAUGAAUCUGAGUCAUUUUCGGUUAUUAUACAUUAUUACAGUAAUUUAAGAUGUGUUAAUAUUAGCAUCCAAAGUAAACAGAGGAUAAAAUUGAAUGGCGAAGCCUAUCACCAUUUCAGGAUUUGAGCUCGUCACUUGAAAAAGAUUUUAAAUUUUGUUGCAGGAGGCUGUGAAUGUGUCCCUUGAAAACCUCAAGACCUACCCGUUUGUGAAGGAAGGGUUGGAGAAGAAGACUCUGAAGCUGAUCGGAGGACACUACGAUUUUGUUAAAGGCAACUUCGAGACUUGGGAGAUCUAAGCGAGCUAUUAAAUAAGCUUAUAAUAAUGUAUAAAAAAACAAGAGCUCUUUUGAGCCCUUUUGUGCAUGUUUGUGCACGUAGUAGUAGCACUAAAUUAUGGAGGAACCUUUUAUUAGGGUUUCGUUUGACUCCGAGCUGUAAUGUAAUGGCUUUCAUGGAUCUUUUGUGAUCCGAAACAUCAGUAACUUCGACUAUGUUAUUGUUAUUAUUAUUAUUAUUAUCUUUUCUAAGUCGAUCUCUUUACUUUUCCAGAACUACUUUUCUCUACUGCUAUAAGAUAUCUUAUGAUCCGACCAUACCUAGCUAAGUUUUUUUUUUUUUUUUUUUUUUUUUUUUUUUUNUAAAAAAAAAAAAAAAAAAAAAUUUGUUUGCAAACAUAUCUCUAUAUACUUUCACCCCUACUACGUUUUAUAUGAUAACAUUAAUGUACCAAACAGGCUUAGUCCAAACAAUUAUUGAUAUUCCUCUGCAGUAACGCAACCAAACCAACCAUGUGGCACGGUUUACAUCACAAGCAUACCAAACUAAUCAUGUGAAAUGAUUUAUUUCAGUAGCUUUACCAUGUGGCAUGAUUUAUGUCACUCCUUGAUGCAGGCCCCUGAUAGCAACUUAAAGCUGACACAAUCGAAAAGCUCAUGUUGAUCUCGACUAGGAUUAACAAAAUUAACUUCAUUGUAGAUUUUACGCAGAAAUUCAAGCUACAUAAACUCAGAUUUAUGAAUGAUUGGAAUGGUUCAGGUUUAACAGCAGGAAUGUAGGACAUAGCCUGUUCUUUCCAUUUUUUCUUUUUCUAAUACAAUCUUACAUAUAUUUUGACCCUGAAACCUAAAUGCGUAACUGUUCAAUUGGUGGUUCAAAUCUAAUCUGGUUAAUUUCGGUAAAAUAUUGAGUUAAGAUAGACACUUUCAAGGUCGAAGGAAGUGCAAUAGACGCCUCCAACCUAUGCCCGAACAUCUCGUUCGUAAAUUAGUCUUCACUCUUCGCCAUUCGAUGAGUUUACUCGAGCUUCCCUGAUGAAUCACUUUCUGUGAUUGAACCGACGGUUGUAUGUUUUGUGCUCAUGAACUGCAAAUCCAUCAGUCCAAUAGUUCUCCUUUUCCCAUAAGAAACAGAAGACAGAUGGUUUUUUACCAUGGAAAAAGUCAUUCACACCGCAAAAAUACUCACCGUUAUUGGAGUCUAUCCAUUAGUUUCUCCACCAUGAUUCUUUGUUGUGUUCCACUCAGAAACUCCGACCUCAUGAUAGCAUUUGAUACAAGAAUGACGUUGCUUGGAGAUGAAGCAUUUACCUACGUAUUAACAAACAUAAUUAACUAACCAAAUUAGAUGGUUUAACUUCACCUAAGUUCCUAUUGUACUGCACACAGAUCUAUAAAAAUUUUUAGUAGUCCAUGUAGUAUAAUAAAUAAGAUGGAAGAGACUGAAGAACUAUACCCAGACACGGCCAUUUAAUCCAACAGCAGUCUCAAAUGACAACUUCUUUCCAAGCGCUUCAAGAACUGGACACAUCGGAGAGCUUAGUAACCUAAAAGAAAAAAGGGAAGAUACCAUGAUGAUCAAUGCUUUAUUAUGCUUGUUCGGUUGAAAAAAAAUGAAAAAAAAAAACCAUAGAUGUUAGUAAAGCCUCACAUUCGUGCCAGGCCAGUUGAAGUCUCAAACAUGUAACCAUCUUUCAAUGGACCAAACUCAGCAGCUUUUCCACCAGCUAGUGAAAAAAAAAAAAAGGUAAUAUUCUUUAGCGUAGAUAUUUCAAAACUACAAAAGUAAUUCGUGUACAAAUCAGCAUAUAUCUCUAAUUGUGCAUAGAGUAGACAAACAUUUUGAGAAAUAUGAUGAAAGAAAGUACCAUCAGUGCAGGAGAGUUCAGGAUUCAUAAUGCUAUUAGCUUUGACAACUCGGGCAUAGAUCAGAGUGCCAAUCUGAAACAGAAUAUAUUGAUAAUUAUUUGCAAGCAAUCUGAAAAUAUGUAAGGACAAAAAAGCAUGCCAAGUUGCAUGAGAAUCAUAUGAAAAACUUGCUUGCAAUAUCAGUUUUAAAGUUAGGAAGCCCUCAGAUAUUGCCCGUAAUAAUCUAUAAGGGUAUCAGGUGCCAGCUUCAUGUCUAUUUGAUUGUUAUGUGCAAGUGUCUUGAGGAACCUAUGUCCCUUCUCUGGAAGAGUGACAUUAAGAAAUUAAAGUUGAUGAUUUGAACCAUCAAUUGUAGCCACCAUUAGUUUUGACUAUUUGAGCAAUCAGUUCUGGCCCUUCUCACUAUUUUCUCUAGCCUUCUUUGAUGCACUAUUUAUAAUUUAUGUUUCUUCAGUAUACACAGGAAAGAGAGAUCAAAGACAUGUAACAAAUAUUUCAGUCCUUUCAGAGAUGCAAAGCCAUAAAAAAUAAAAUAAAAAAGAAACUGCUGCACCAUCCAAAUAUUCAGAGGGUCCUAAGUUCAUGCUACAUAACAUAAAUACCACAUGGUAAUUUAUCUUAAAUAUGCAAGCAUAUGUUGCAGUUGAAAGAGAGUUCAAAAACCGGAGCCAUUACUAAUAUACCAUUACAAUAGCUUCUAUGAACAAACUUAUAGUAGAUAGCACUUAGGAUCGAAGUAAGAAAUACUUUAACACAAAAACAAAGAAUAGUUAGUCAUGAUAUAAUACCUCAAACUUUGGUAUGUUUCUCCUUGUUCCACCUUCAAAAGCAAGUACAGGUAGAAAUGCCAAAUUCGGACCCUUUAUAUCCACCAAGAAGUUCUGAAAGCACCAAAGGUGAAGAGAAUGACACAAACAGGCAGAUCAUAAUUUUAUAAUAUAGACUAUAGAGUACCUAAGAAAGCCUUUUUGCCACAUAAGAAUGCCUAAAAAUAUUUUCUUUCUAAAAAAUUAAAAAACUUUUGUUGUUACUAGAUACAAGCCUGAGGUACCAAACUUUGUAUAUGUAAUCUCAAGCAUAUCUUAUACUGCUUCACUGUCAAAAUAAAAGGUGGAGACCUAAAAUUCAUCAAUAACCAGAGUGCAAGGAUAUAAAGCUAGCUUGAUUGAUACACUUGAUAGAAGUGUCUUCACAAUUUGACUUUUAUCCUCCAUAUCAGAUGGGGGAUAAGUCAUUCGAUAAUCAUAAUCCAUUACGUGAUUGUGUAUGCAUGAAAAUCUACCUAAUAAUACAUUUGAUCCCAAUGAGUACAUAAAAGAAUGAUAAUAAUGAUUAUUACAUGAGAUAUAUGGAUCUGAUACUUACAUCUGGUUUGGUAUCAACCACAAUUCCGAGAACUGUAUCUUCGACACAUGGUACAUACUGCAGGAACAAAUAUAUGUUAGAUAGAUCUCUCUAAAGAAAUUUCCUGGCAGAAGAAAAGAUGAGGACUGAACAUUUCGACCAGAAAAUGAUACGAUGAAGUGAAUUAAAAACAUGGUUGCAUGAAAUAUCUAGUCUGGAGGAAAUGUGAUAGAGAUAUGACAAGAAGGACAUCGUAUUUAGCAUUUUUAACAGCAAAUAUGAUGAUGUCUUAAAAAAUAGAGGAACAUGGAACAUUAAAAACAAACAAAAAUAUGUCUUAGCUCGUAGGCAUCUUAAUAGGCAUCCAUUCCCCAAGAAUAUGUUCUCACUUAAGUCCACUAGUACAAAACUUGAUGUGUCCAAUUUCACAUUGUCUAAUGAGUUUCACCAACCAAACACACAGGACAUAAGGAUAUAGCACAUUUUUCGCUAAUGUUCUAAGUUCAUUUUUUUGAAAACAUUCUUAUCACUACUACCUAGAUGUAGUCCUAUCCGAUAGAUCUCGGUCCUUGACGAUACACAAGCCUUAAAACCAAUCAAAAGAGGCAAUGAAACAUGUUUAUAUUAUCCUCGCAAGCAAGCAUAAUUCUAUAUAUCAGAUAACAACUCAGCUAAAACAAAAGCUACGACUUUACAACCAUUCAUAUUAAUCAAAACAUUCAAAUGGUUACAAUGUCGAAUCUAAGCCAUUGAAUCACUCACUCUCUUCUGUGAGCUCUCGAUCCAGUACUUAUUCGGCUUCGACAGCCUCAGCUUCCCAGCCUUCAUGGCUGAUAUAGUGUCACAAUCCUGUAGACCAAAUCAAAAUCUAAAAUAACACACCAUUACCGACCAAAACAGAGCUUGAUCUCCAACCCCAGUUCUUACAACUAGAUUCAUUAGGAUAUGAAUCCGAACCUGACGCAAUCCUGCUCCCAGUUUGAUCGUCUGAUUAGCCAUCGUGGAAAGAUCCAAGACGACGUCUCCAGGAACCUAGAAAUCGAGAAGUAAUAGAGAUCAUGGGGUUGAUGGAGAGCAGAGCGAGGAGGAGAACGAGAGGGGAAGUUGAGCUUACCACGGGUUUAUCUACGAGAUUCGUCGGGGUGUCCAUGAUCUUAGGGUUAGGGUUUCCUCCGCGGAGAAUGGGAAAAGGAGGAGAGUGAAGGAGAGUUUGAGAGAGAGAGAGAGAGAGAGAGAGAGAGAGAGAGGAAAAGUAAGAACGAACUCGGCCCAAAAAUAUAGCGGCCCAAAACAUCCAGUUAAUAUAUAACCGGCCCAUAUACGAAAGAAAUUAGGCCCUAUUGGGCCAAAUUUGUCUUAGACUUUUCUUCUUUUUUUAGCCAAUGCUUGUAGAUCCAAACAUGCAUCCCAAUGUGAUGUAUUUUUUAAUACAAAUUCUAUGCGAUGUGGUGUGUUCAUAAACGGUUAUGAGUAAAUUUAUCAUCUAUAUGUAUAUUGGAACUGUUUGGCAACAACAUAAUAAAACAGUCUCAGAAAAGUGUGAGACAAUCCGAUCCUCAAAUUUUAAUUUGUUAUAAUUUCAAGCUUAAUUUUUCUAAAUUGUUACAACCUAAUCUCACAGUCCAUUUAAAUUAAUGGUGGCAUGUUGUUAGUACAAUGAUAACAUGAUUGAUGAUGUAACUACUACUAAUGUACCACAUCAUUACAACACCAAUGAUACAUCACCACCUAGUAAACUAAAUUAGACAAUAAAACUCAAUUGCCAGAAUCUAAGAAAUUAGAGAGAAUUUAUAACAAAUUGAAGUUUGGGACUUAGUAAUAAUUUUGAGGAUCAAAAGUAUGAUUUAGCCUAACAAAGAUUUAGUAAUAAUUUUUUGAAGAAAGUCAAAUAGAACAUGUAUUAAUAAAAAAACAAAAAACAAAAAACAAAAAUCUCAUAUAAGGUUACUACAAACUACAAACUUCAAAGCUAAUAUAAGAUCACUUGUUGUGCAACAGAAAAUGUUUUGCUGAAGACUACAAAGUUGUCCAUAGUUUCAAUGGAUAACAUGAUUUUAUAGCUAAAAAGGACCAAAAAAGGUGGUCAUCAGAUUCAUCAGACAAUUCAAUACCUACUAUUAAUGAAAAGAAAAUAAAUUAUAUACAUAUAGAACUUCUUGUAGGAAACCGAGUUAAUACAUGUUACAUUAUGCUUUUCCAAGAAUUAACUAUAUAAACAACAAGAAAUUGUGAACCAUAGCCCUGUUUCUUAGGACUCAUCAGGCUUGGGCUCGAGGACUACGGGAAUUUUCUCCUUAUGAUCACCGCGUAGGACUUCGAUAAUCACCUAAAAGAGUACAGAAGAAAAUUUGUUGCCAAAAGUUAGAAUGUAGCUAGUAACAUUCAGACGAAUAGCGCAUUCAACUACGUUGUUUUGACAAUCAUCACCGAUCAACUUUUAAUAGUUUGAAAUAUAGCUCGAGGCUCAAUAGAUGGAAUCGUGGAAGCUUUGUCAGAUGCAAAGCAGCAUCUUCUCUCAUGUUUCGAAGCAUGCAAUAUUUCUAUAAAAAGGCAUUUCAUGUAUCUCAUUUGAGAAAAAAAGGAAAAAAUUUGAGGACCAUGCACUGGUCGACUAAUCAAUCACUUUAAGGUGAGACAAAAAAUUUUAUCCUUUAACCUGGCCAUAAGAGUGAGUAAUUGACGAAUAUGUUACCAUGAUAAAAAGAAUGUAAAUGAGGGUCAAAUUAAAUGGUAAGCAGAGAAAAAGCUCACCGUCUCACCAACUUUACACUGGUCCAAGAUACGAUAGAGAUCGCUCCCAUUUGUAACCUUUUUACCAUUAACAGAAGUAAUAAUAUCACCCAAAAUAAGACGGCCAUAGGCGUCACGUUUGGUUGGUAGCAACCCCUGCAAAUGUCAAAGAAUAAGCGGGCCAGUCAAAAAUUAAAGGUACUUCAGAUUAAUUAUUCCAAAAAAAAACUUCAUCAAAUUAAAAGUGUUCUUUUAGAAACUUUGAUUUCUUUGGAUAUUCUGGGAAAAAUUAUAACUCACUAUAAUUUAAAUUUACAUAGAGUUGCAGUGAUCACAAUAUAUGCAAAAGCACAUGCAUUGGUUUCACUCAUUUCUAUCAUAUAAAUGCAUUUAUAUGCAAUGGUUACUGUAAAUAGACAUUCGAAGCAACGGUUUAAACCCAUGAAGACCUGGCAUUCUAUUCUUUAAUUAGGGCUAUAUUUUUCCGAUGCUGAAUUCCACUGUUAAAUCAUACACUACUAUAUGCCCUAACAUAUGUUCGAUUCAUAUUAUCCGCUAUAUGUUAAAUGACUACCAAUGAGCUCUGAAUCAAGAACAUGAAGUAUGAGACACUUCACUCAUCCCUUCCACCAUCGACGGCUUUAGUUGGAAAAGAGGCAAAGGUUAGAAAAAUACUUGACAACUUCACCAUACACUGUUUAUGGGCAACUCCUUUCUUCAAAAUCAAGCGCAAAUCCAUUUCACAUUUCAAGGUUCUUUCUCUUUGCAAUAGAUUUCCAAUGAAACUUUAGCUGCCAACAUUUUGUUCUACUUUGAGAAGUGUUGCUGGUACCCUGAUCCAGCAUAUAUAAUGUGGAAAAGGCUACUUGUAUUUACUAACGGACGUUGCAGCAAUUGAGGCCUCGCCGAGAAAUAAACAAACAUCUAAAAUAUUCGUAAGCAUACCUAGAAGAGCAACCAAAAAAAAAAAAAGAAGAAAUUAAAUAAAGACGAAGAAGAAUGUUAAGUUCGAUCUCUUUUCGCAACCAAGGGGAAAGAUGAUAUCAUACCGCUUUUCCAGCUGGUCCGUUCGGAGGAGCAUCUAAGACAAGCACUCCACUUACUCCAAGCUGCUCCACAGAUUGAUCUGGGGCAAAUUUUAUUCCCAAAAUAGGUCUUGUAACUUUGCCAAAUUUUACAAGCUGCUCGACAAUACCACUAACCUGGAAAAGUCAAAAAAAGAAUUCAAUUUUCAUGUCUGUAAAAUAUGAGGAUAGAGAAGAAAGGAUGGCUCAAAACGUGAAAAAAUGUUGUAACUUUAGUAUUACAACAUUGUUGAACAGAGUAGUCAAAACGAAAGGAAAUCACUUACUGUAUCAACUGGAAUUGAGAACCCAACACCAGAGGAUGCUCCCGACGGUGAGUAGAUAGCUGUGUUUAUCCCUAUUAAUCUUCCGGAACUAUCUAGAAGCGGUCCCCCACUAUUACCUGGGUUAAUGGCAGCGUCAGUCUGUAUAACAUCCUGUAUAGGACGGCCAGUCGCAGCAGAACUGAUUUCUCUUCGCAAUCCACUGCAAAAAAAAAAAAAAAAAAAGAAUCCAAAGAUGUUAAGAACAGAGUGAAAAAGUCCUAAUAUUAAUGGCUCAUAAGAAAGUUCACCAGGUAAAUGACUUCAAUAUAUGGAUUUCCAUAAUCAAGUAAGCAUAGUCAAAGAAUAACGAUAAAAGUAAAUUUAAAAUGACAAUAUAGCUAACCUGAUAACACCAGUAGUAAGCGUGUGGUCAAGGCCGAACUGCAGAUACCCAAAAUAUGCAGCAUAAGCUCUUUAACAAAACAAGAAGCCAAUUAUAGAACGAAUUUUUAGACAACAAGGUGAUCAAUUUGACUACUUAAAAAUAGUAGACUUUGAAUUCUUAAAUCGAUAAGCAUGCCUCUUUGUUCUGUAAAUUAUUUAGAUGGCACUCAAUAGAAUUAAUUAGAUAUGACAAAUACACGGUGUGCAUCAUUAUCUUCUAGGUCUAUAAUAUCGUUUUUAGAAAGUGAAAAGCCAAAACACUACUCAGGAAUUUCUAAAAUAUGCUUGAUUGUAGAGUUUAACUUGUUGCCUUUUAAAGUGAAACCCCCCGAAAGGCAAUAUACUAUAAAAGCACACCAGAUUGAUUUCCACAAGAAGUUGAUAUCUCACAUAAGAAAUGAUGGAACUACAGAAAAACACAAAUUAAAUUAGCAUAAGAUACUAACAGGAUUCCCAAUAGCAUAAACUUUCUGACCCACUAGUAGAUCUGCUGAUACACCAACUGGUAUGGGCCUUAGUUUAUCCUUCGCAGCCUUGAUACGCAGAACAGCUACAUCCUUGUCUUGGUCAUAUCCAACAACUUUUGCUUCAUAUGUUGAUUGAUCAGCAAGGGUGACCCUGUAUAAAACUAGCAUGACUAGCUUUACUUGUAAUCAGAUUUCUGAAGACUUUCCCAAGCAACAGUUUAAAAAAAAAAAAGGAAAAGAAAAAAGAGAGAAAGCGAGAGAGAGCGCUCAAUGAUUAAUGAAUUUGUAACUAAGCAAUAAUGAAAUGAUUAUGUAACGACAUAACUGACCACCAAUAGUGUGACCUCCUGAAUUGCUAGUUAGAAGUAACAGGUUAUAAAUCUACAACCUUGCACUUCAAUAAGGAUUUGAAUCACUUGUACUAAUAGGAGAGAGGGGCUAAUCACAUCUGAGGUACCGCAUGGCUUGUUAUUGAUAGAAAUUAUGGCGAAGAACAAAUUUGAAAUGUUGUCGAAAUUUGAAAUGUUGUCGAACAUAUCAUAAUGCAGUGAUGAUGUGCCCACUUCCUUUCUCUACAACGUUAAUUCCUCGGAGAUUUUCAACAUAAUGAUCAGAGUUCGCAGUUAAAAAAGGGCACCAUGAGGCUAAGAAAACAUAGUUAUCAGUUAGAAGACCGACUAAUCAGUCACUCAACAAUUAUGACUUGAACAGUUGAAUAUAAACCGAGAUAACAUAGCAAAUGUAAAUGUCCCAAAUUUAACCAAACAAUUGGAGCUUGCAUCGAGAAUCCGAACUCUAUUUUCUCAGCUCACAGUGACUCAAUUUCAUCAGGAUUAAACUUGAUCGAAUAUGCUGAUAAUCUACGAAUAGGCCGACAAGUAAGCAUGUUUCCGAGCAUUGAAAAUUCAUAGAAGUAUCAUUGCUAAACGCACAACUACUACCUCCACGAGCAAAAAAACUGCUUUAAAAGCAAGGGCAAACAGGAACCAAAUAAAGCAAGGAGAAACCAGCUCAAACCAACCUGAGAUCCGACGCCCCGCGGAUCACAUGAUAAUUAGUCACAAUGUGCCCAUUCUUGUCCCACACGAACCCCGACCCCGACCCCUGCGGCACCUCCAACACAUCCAGCGUGAACGCAUCCUGCCUAUUCUCGCACAACCAAGUACAAAAAAAAAAAUCGCUUUUUUAAGCAACCAAACUCGCCGAAUCAGUCCCCAAAAGAACCAAUUCGAUCCAUAGUAGCUUUAACGGUUACCUAACGGCGAGGUUGGUAAUGUAGACGACGGAGGGCGUGUUCUCCUGGAAGAGCCGAACGGUGGCGAGCUCGUCGGCUUGGAGCUUCCUCGGGGUGGUGACGACGAAGGCGGAGGCGGCGCCGGGGUCGGCGAGGAAGAGGGCGGCGGAGAGGGAGAGGGAGGCGAUUAGGACGAAGAGGGAAUCGAGAGCCGAGGAGAGGGCUCCUUUAAUAGGCUUCGGCACGACCGGAGGUAGGAGAUUCCGCAAGGUCGGAGAGGAGGAGGGGGAGGGGAGGGGAGGGGCUAGGGUUUUGGGGAGGAGUAGGAGGCGGGGGAGCGACGACGAGGGUUUGGGCCGCGGAGGGGAGUAGGAGCCGGGGGGCGAGGGAGAAGAGACGGGGGAUUUGGAGGAGGAGGAAGAGAGGAGGACGAGGGAGGAGAGGGGGGAGGAGGCGAGAGCUGUGGCGAGCGCCAUUAAUGGAGAGGGGGAGGGAGCUCGGAGCUCUGGUGUAGGGGGGAAGUUGAAUUGUGGCUGUGGAGCGGGGAGAACACUGAUGAGAGAGAGAGAGGGAGAGAGCUCGCGAGGGUUCGCAGCGAAUGAGAAACUGACGCGUGGAGGAAAACAAUUGGAUGGAAAUCAAUGUUUGCUGUGUUGUACGCACGGGGUGAGAUGUGUUGGAUAACUUAAAGUUUAGAACCAAUCACGUCAACGCAUCAUAUAAACUCAUCAAUCAUUAGUAUGAUUUUUAUAUAAUUUACAUGAUUACUGGACCCGAUAAAACACAGUAGUGCAAUAAAUUAAAGUUUUUACUUUUUACCUUGUUUAAAUAAUUUAGAAAUGCGGUCAUGUAACCAAAGUCAAACACAUCCUCAUAGCUAAUUGCACUCAAACUUAGGUUUGCUCAGCAAAAUUUCAAAAUUUUUGCAUUUAACACCUAACCUUUUAAAAAUUCGUAAUUAGUUGCUUAAAUUUAUAUUUCACCUGUUUAAAAUGACUAUUAUUAGUUACAUGGUCCAAAAGUAAUAAAGGCCCACGGAUAAAUAAAAUUUAUCUUAAUUAGGAGCCAUUUGGAUUUGACUAUUCAGCCAUUUAAAAUUUUAAAUUUUACUGCCAAAUCUUUUAAUUUGUUCGAUUUGAGUCAAUCAACAAAUGACACAUUAACUUUAAAAUUUAAAUAUAUCUUUUCAAAUUUAGUUAGUAUGCUUAAAACAAUUAUUGCCACUAUAAACCCAUUAAAGUAUUUAAUUAGAUUAAAUUUAAAGUCAAAAUACCAUUGAAUUGUUUAAAUCAAAUAAAUUUAAAAAAUAAGUAGUAAAAUCAAAAAUUUUAAAGUUCGUAUAGCAGAUGCAAAAUAGUUCAUAGGCUAGAUAAGUUUUUACCCAAUGAUUAUUUCAAAGUCAAGGAUCACAUGUCGUUACAAUAAAGCUAUCGAUUUAUUUUUUGUUACUAAUGUGCAGAUGCUUACAGUGGACCUCAAAUAUAAGGGACAAAAUCAUACCUGAUGCUGCUACACCUGGUUAUUUUAUUAUUGAACGUUAAGGAGCUCAUAUGCAAAAAAUAGUAAAAUUGCAACAUUUUCCCUUGAAAAUUCAAAGUAAUAAAAAAGAUAAUCCAACUGCAAAAAAUCUAACAUUUCAAAACAGGCAAAAUUUGGCCUCUCUUUGCCCCCUCGCAAAGAAAAAAAAAAGAAGAAAGAAAUAAAUUUGUAUCAUAAGCAUUCUCGAAAUCCAUCUCUUGACCAAAGAGAUUCGAAGCUUUCGUGAGCGGCAAAAUGGAUGAAGCUUAAAGAGAGAAUUAGAAUUUAGAAGAUCUUUCCGAUAGGUUUUAGAUCUCUCGGCAAGUGAUCGUAAUUGCCGGAGUCUAUUUCCGACUGGAAGAAAGGCCGCUUCCCGAAACUCCACUGAACACCUUCAGCCAAAUGCUCCUUGUUUGGUGUCAGCAUCACGUAGUUCGGAUCAGCCCUUUGAUAACUGCAUACCAUGAAAAGAACCACAAAAAGAUGAAAUUAGAGAGUGAAACCAGGCUUCCGCAUAAAAGCCCUGACACAUCAUUUCAAAUAUAAGUAAUCACUUUAUCUAUUAUUUUGGAUGUUACUGAAAGAGCUACAAAUAUGAUAGACAAAGCAGGUUCAUUAAACGUGAACACAAUUUGCAUAGCAAAGUUGAUGAGGUAUAUUGUGCUCGCUUUGUCGAUGGUAAUUGAUGCUUCGUCAAUUGCCCCAUAUUAUAAAUAGGAGAGUUAAUAACUGCCAUUUUUGUGUUUUCAUCCUCAAGACUACCAAACCCAAGACUUCAAGAUCUUAGCAAUAUUCUUUUAUUAAAUAUCUAGUCUGACUAGAAAUUUUGUAUAUUGAAACUAUUUUGAGGUCACUCUGAUUAAUUUCCACAUUCAAAUAAUUAGUUCUGUUCAUCAUGCGCAAAAGGUUAAGCGCAGGGGGAAAAAACCUGGGCUCUCUAAGAUCCUCAGCACGAAUUCCAAAUCCAUACGAUUUUGUCCCAUUCUGAUGGUCACUAGUAGCUGCAAAAAUAAGCCAACAUGAAUUGGAUGUUUAUUAAUAACUGCAAAGAGAGGGCAACAUGAAGGCUCUGCAACUAUUUUGCUUUCCACAUUAACACAUCAUACAUAAAUCAUUUUUUAAAGCCAGGUUCAUUUAUCACAACUCAAUAAAAAUGCAGAAGAUGAGAGUAAAAACAGUUAGCAUCGUAAUCGGAAACUUAGUUUUGAAGAUAUCAUCAGUACUAUGCUUUCAUGUGGUUUAGAUGCUCUGUGACCAACCAAAGUAAAUUUCUCAACCUAAUUAAACUCCGAACCAGGUUUAGGUAUUAGGUCCUUUUCUUCUGUCCAACAGAAUGGAAGAAAAGCUUGGAUCAAGUGGGGACCUUCAAACACAAAAAUCAAUAUGAUGCCUAAGCUAAACAUGCAUCAAAAUAAAUCAGUGAUUGCAGUGUAUGAGACUACGAUAUGCACUUCAGGUGCCCUUUGUUGUUAAACGUGCCCAAAUUUAAGAUGCCUUUUGUUGAAGUUGUCUAAAAGUUGAACUAUGUAGCAUCUACGCAUCAUUAUAGAUGCACAGGGUUCUUUUUACUUCGUUGUUUCACUUUUAUCAAAAAACAUAUAUGGCGCAACUUUUGGCAUACUAAAUAACAAGGUUGCAAUUAAAGGCCACAUGCCUAACAAUUUUCAAGAAACUAACGAAAGCAUUAACAUGUCUCACCAGUUUGACUAUCAAAAAUUACGGAAGUAACUUUGGAUGUUAUCUCAAUUUCAAUAAAAUGUAGAGAGAAUCAAGUGUUUGCAACUUAAAAGUUUCAGCCCGUAAGUUAGGGGAGAGCUGAAACUACCUGUAAUACUAAAUGUAAAGGAAGGUCUCCACCAAGACUUGAAUGCCAAAGCAACAGAAGACUUAGAGGGGCCCAUUUUUCCCUGUAAGUGUGAAUAAAUGAGAGUCAGCAAGCAAUAUACUUCACAUUGAGUAUAAACAGAGAUAUGGCAGAUAGAGUACCAACCUUCAGUAAGAAGUUUUUAUUAGCUUGCCAAGAUGCCGCUAAUUGAAAAGAGGAAUCAUCAGCACUCCCAAGUGAUUUAUCACCAUCAAUCCUAAUACAACAUGAUAAAGUGAGGUUCAGGUUCAAGCCUAAUAAGUCAAACAAUAUUUCCCUUUAUAUCCGGCAACAUACCUUGUCGUCAACUCAAAACCAAAGUCAAUGUAAUUUGUGAUUCCAACUAUUUGAUGGUCUUCAAAUGGAUUAUUCACCUGUUCAUAUAAUGAGCAUCAAGAUUAUUUUGAGAGAUUAGUGGAGACUGACUAAUUAUUAGGUCCAAAACAAAGUGUCAAUCGCACUUCUAUAAAGAAAUAUAGAAAGAAUGACAAUAGAGAAAAAGCAUGGCUUUCUUGCCAAAGAAAAUAAACUAGAAAAAAAAAGGAUAGAAUACAAUAAAAGCCAGAUUUGCUUGUACACAGUGUGUGAAAGAACAGAAGGAAUCUGAGUAUAAGACAGUAUUAGAGCAAUUGUUUUGCAUCUUAAAGUCCCCCUUCUUCAAUUGAUUGGAUAAAAUGAUCAGGGAAACGCAUAAGAUUAAUAAAAUCCAUGGUUUUCAAAAUAAUUGUUAACUAGAAAAUAUAACAAUCAGGACAUACUAACUACUUUCAUGGAAAAUGGAGCUACAGGUAAGUACAAGGGAGAUAGAAAUAUAGGAAUAGAUUUGAGAAAUAAGUGGGAGUUGUAAUGGGUGAGUGACCAAUGGCCAUCAACAUCACGUAAACUCUCUAAUUAAUCAAGAACAACAAAAAUAUCUUCUUUUUUUCUUUUUUCUUUUUUCCUAAGAAUGACUUUUAUAUCUUUCAUUAUUUUCAAUCUCAAAUAGAGUAUAUCUGCAUCAACUAGAAAGGAACUAAAUAAGAUGUCAGUGAUUGGUUAGUUCAUGAUACUGCAGGCAUAUCCGUUGGAAGAAAUACUAGAAAAUCUGAGCUGUUUGCAAAUUAUGCAGGCGUAAAAAAAUAAAAAAUUUAAAAGAGAACAUAUCUUACCCUUCUUUGAACAACAACAUGCUGAUAGAAAGACGCAAUCAGCUGCACAAGAAUGAAAACAUGAAUAAGUAACUGCAAAAGAGAUUUUCGUCCAUUUUCACUUGGGAGGCCAAGACAAAACUUACCUGCUACCUAUUGACUCAGUACAAUUUAAUCAUGAAGCAUCAAUACCACAAAUCUUACAAAGGAAAAGAGAACUGACCACACUUGAAUUAAUUUUUUCAACGGAAUAUUGCCUCUUACCUUUUAUUCAAAAAAUCAUUGAGAAUUGAGAAAUCCAAACAAAGAAGUUCUCUUAUGCAUAUAAACAGAAAUAAGAAAACAAACACGUAGCGAAAUGUCUUCAAACAUUAUCUUGUUAGUGCCAUAAAAAAGAGAAAAAAAAUCAUGAAACCUCAUAUAUUUGCUGAGUAGUUACAAAGAAAGUAUACAUAAUGUUACAAAACAGUUUGUAGAGCCUACAGAAAUAUCAUAAAAUGAAACAAAGUCAAACCUGUGAAGUCUUAUCAAGCUCAAGGCCGAAAUUAAAUGAUGGACAAAGAGGGCUGCUCGAACCAACUUCGUAACCAAUGGCACAACUCCAAUUCUUUAAGUCCUUAAAGCACAUGGGACGCUUGCUUUCAUCUAGCAAAUAUAAGACAUAAGAGAAGCCAAAGCAUGAAUACAUAGAGAUAGAUACACACAUGUGUAGUACGUUCACACAUGUUAGUUUUAGAGAAUAUAUGCUAUGUUUGUAACACGCUAACAAAUUAACAAUGACAUCUAUGAAUAUUUUUCUUUUUCUUUUUUACAUGUUUAGAUAACAAAAUCUUUUACUACAAUAUGUAACCUUAUUAGAACCUCAUAAUGACUGAGGUAAGUAAGUUUUUUAAAUUGGUUGAUGCACACAACAAAAAUAAUAAGAACAAUAUGAUGACAAGAGAAUAAAAAAUAAAAGGAAAUAUCAAUCAACUAUUAGCAGGCCCAAAAUAUUUCUUGGAGAUAGAUACAACAUAAACUUAGAACUCACAAGGUUGUUGGUACUUCAUUCCAACACUUAAACUUCCUGCUCUUGCGACCAGCCAUGCACACAUGGGCAUCUGAGAAGACACUGUGUAAGAGGAAAGGCAUUAAACAAAGUUAAAGACAAUGUUCUAUUCUUUAUAUUUCUGCAUCCAAAUCUCAGAUUUCUUCUUGACCUCGCUGUAUACUUUUUUAUGUCUCACACUGUUGUAGUCUGAGCAUAUUUGUUGCACAUCCAAGCAAUGCUUUACCAUUUGUAUAAUGCAGAUAAACUAAAAGUUACUUCAAAAUAGAUCAGGAAAAAAAAUUCGUGAAAAUAUAGGUAAGACCUAACAACAUGAUUCCUACAUACAAGGAAAUGGCAUGAAGGAAGUUCCAACAGAUAAAUUUUCUGAUCCAUAUCGUAAGCCCAUGACACCAUAAUCUUCUGGAUGCACCCUGCAGAUACCAAAAUUGAGAUUUAUAUGAUAGAAGCAACCAAUUCUUGAAAUCGGUAGAUAACAUUUAUGUGCCAUGACAAAAUAACUAUUGGAGAAGCAUAUACUAUGUCAUGUGAAAUAUUACUGUUGUUACAUCCAUUUAAAAAUUCCGAUCAUUCAAAGUGGCCUUUAGGUGUUCUGUAAUUAAGUAUUUGCCUGACUUUUAAUAAUACGCAUGAUAAAUUUGCAUUUCCUGGAUACAUAGAAUUUAGUCAAAGAAUAUUACUCUAAUAAGACAAAUCAAAACAAAUGAAGCACUAAGCAAAUUGGUGUAUAAAAAGAUGUUAACAUAUAUUAAACAUACCUAUUUGGCAUCAACAAUGGAAACGUACCAAAUGCUCCAAAUCGAUAUCUAGGGUAAUAAGCACAUGACCUCAACCGCAGCAUGCUAGAAAACAGUUUAAGUUAUAGAUUAGCAUACACAACAACUGAUGGAGAAAUAGAAGACUUCAGAUAGAAAAUACUAGAAUCUCACGGUUUGGAAGUUGAUACAAGAAGGUCCAUAAAUGUAUGUGGGUCAUCCAAGUCCCUAUUAUAGGAAGAGAAGCACAAUGAAUAAAGCAUCUCCUUUUGGUAAUUUUGAAAGAGAGAAAUGCCCCGUGAUGAUUAAAACAUCAUACAGCAGGAGUAGACAACAAGAACCACAACCUUUGCCAGCGAAACAAGGCAUUUCCUUCAACACCAUUUCCAUGUGCUCGAUCUAAUGGACCUAAAACCUGAGAAUAUUAAGGUAGGCAAAUUUUUCUUCAAUACAAACAAGAAGGAUUAUUACAACCUACAAUCCCCUUUCAACUAAGAGAAAAUCAAAAACUUGAAGGGGAAAAAAAGAGAAGAAAACGCAAAAAAAAAGGUAUAUUACAAGAAUAAUACAUAAGAAAUAGCACCUGUUUUGUUAUCUGUGAGAAAACAGAGUAAAGAAGUGAUAUGUCUUAUAUACAGGAAGUACUCAUGUGGCAAUCUUCCGAAACGUCUCUUGCCUUUUACCACCAAAGAGCAACCAUUACAUGAACAUAUCACAUGGAAAAGAUUUCAUGAUAUUGGCUAACAGAGCAAGCGAAAUUUCAAAGUUUGCAUUUUUCUACCCACCAAAUGUCCUACGAGAUUCUAUCUUCCAUCAGUUCAAGUAACAUAGAAAUCUGACCUCCACAGGCAAGAUAGUAAUCAUUAAUUUCCUAGCUAAUACAUGACUCUCCUCAACGUAUCAGCUUUAAUCAAAUUUACAACAAAUGAAUAAAAACAUGCCAAUGAAAAACUAGUAAUAGAAGCACUAGAGGAUACAGUAGCAAUUAAAUCCACAUGAGGAUCUUCCAAUGGCUUCAGCAUAAUCCUAGUGUUAAGAUGCCCAGCUUGCUCAAAGUAUUCCUCAAAAAGGUUUCGCAAUGCAAGUUUUCCGAAUAGUAGGUCAUAAGCUGGAACCAGCAUCCUGUGUACCCAUCAAAGAGAGACGCUUAAAUAUCACUUAAGAUCUCAGAACAUAGAAACUGCAUCUAGAGUGGUUCGACAAAGAUAAGCGAAACGAAAUAAAAACAUGCAGAAGAAACUUGAAGAGCUGAUGCACACCAUAGCAUGAUAUUGCUAAGUAUUUAAAUGCACAGAAAAGCAAGCAUACUCCGCUACUGAUAAAUUUCAGAAUCUAUGCAAUGAUUACCGUUCUUAUAUUGUUUUAAUAACAAAAACAUCAACUACAUACGGCUAUGCAUUUGAUCCAAUGCAUGAUAAAUCCGGUCGACACAUUGGUCCAUACAGUUGUGGCUAAGAAUAGAUAGGCUUUUGAAAUUAGCUUCAAUUCAUGUGGUUUGCCAAAGAGUGCUAGGCAUUAUUACACAGUAUGAAAUUACAAUACAUCGGCCACUGAUUUCAAACUAAAAACUAAUAGAAUUGUACAAUAAAAAUAACAAGAUCAUCAAAAAUGCUCUCUUCAACAAUGCCUAAUUAGGUUUUUACCACCAAAUAUCACCAACUGAGAGAUCAAUAAUCCAACGAAAAGUCUCCGCAAAUUCGAGAAAUGAAAAAUUAAUAAAUCAAACCGAUUAUUAUCAACAGAGAUGGACCAAAUUAGUGCGUUGGGGACGAUUUAGAUCUCAAUACCUAGUUCGCGCCGCGAGAGGAGGGAAAUCGAAGAUCGGGGGGACGAGAACCAUGGGCGGAGGCGGUUCCUUGGGGAAAAAGUAGCUCAAAAUGUUCCCCAUCUCUCUCUCUCUCUCUCUCUCUCUCUCUCUCUCUCUCUACUUCGUCUUCUUCGUCUUCGUCUCCUUUCUCUUCUAGGAGUGGAGUGGGGAACCGGUCGCCAGGAGAAUGGGCGUCGGGAGCUUCGCUGCGUCUUUUUAAAUCCCACAUUUCGCUCUUGCACCUCGGCGACCGAUUCCCUUCCAAAGGCGAAGGUGAAAUUGCAUGAAGACCCCUCAACUACACUAUGUUCUGAAAUAGCCUGCUGACUAUAUUCUUUUUUCAAUUCAGGUCCUCCGACAACUUAAAUCAAGCGAUUUUAACCAGAUAAAUUUAAAAUUGUAUUAAAGAAGUCAAAAAUUCUGUGAAAUAACUUUUUAUAUCAAAUACAAAAUUUUAAACUUAAUUAACUUGAUUAACUCCCAAAAAUCUAUUUGAAAAAUUUUAAUAUUAUAUAUAUAUAAAGUAUGUAUGUGCUUUUGAAAAUACGAAGGCCUCGGUGUUAAGUUGUUUUUGAUAAUAGGAUAUCUGGUUUGAUCGAUCGGCUCCAUUAAGUAUAAUCUACACUAUUAAAACUAUCUAGAAACUAAAUUUUAUAAUUUUUCGACAUUAUUUACCAGGUGAUCAAAAUGUCUCAACAAUGACUAUUUUAACGGUCCAUGUAGUACAUUUUUAAGUUUAACGUUAUAUAAUAAUCCAAACUAUAUGAAACUUUAAUAAAAAAUUAUACUUAAUAUUAGUAGCAAUCAAUACUUCUAAUUUAAAAUUUGAGUCAUUUAUAACUAUUUUUUUAUAAAACUUUUAUUUCCAUUCGUUUAUUUUGAAGCUACUCGUUCACUCGGUAAAUAAAAUCAAAAUAUUAUAAAAUUUGGUUUCCAGAUAGUCACAAUAGCAUAGCUCAUAUUUAACGGAACCGAUCGCCGAAUUAGAUAUCACAUCAUCAAAAAUAACUUACAAACACGAAAAUAUCUGUAUUUUCAAGAAUAUAGCUGCCUAACUUCUCUCUCCCUCUCUCUCUCUCUCUCUAAUUGUUGCAUAUGUAUAUGUAAUUAUGUAUAUCAUCUUAAAAUUAUGCCACAUUUAUGAUGGGACGAGUUUACUCUGCCGCAAAGUCAGCGUCGAAUGUGUUAGGCUUCAUUUGGGAUUGCGGAGAGAUUAUGUUACUUGCGAUGAAAAACGACGAUAAAAAAAUACCCUAUUUAUUUCCGUACGUAAUUUUUUUUUUUUUGAGAAAAAGGUAGCAUGCUACCCACUUUAUUCAUUGAUUAGAUGAAUUAAGCUACAUGUGCGGAGCAACCGAUCCCCGAGAGAAAAAAAAAAAAAAACAACACAAUAUUCCCUACGUAAUAUUGCGUUACGCAUAUUGCGGUUAGUUAGUUACGAUAUAUUUUUUGCGGUCCCAUCAAAAAAUACAAAAAUAUAUCCCUAUAUAUUUUUACUUAAUUUUAUUCUAUCCAAUAGUAUUAGAUCUACCUCAAUACCAAACUAAGCCUCACAAUGGCUGGUCCGCGUCCGAAAUUGGCACAGGAACCAGGUAUAAGUGCCGACUUACGUUUUAUCACAAACCCUUCCCCGUGUUCUGGCGAAAAAAUAAAAUAAAAUAAAAUAAAAUAAAAUAAAACGUACAUAUAAGCACGCGCGCACGCACGUAGAAAGGUCAAACCGCGCCCGUAUAAAUCGCCCCAACCCGCUCUUUCCCCUCUCUCUCUCUCUCUCUCUCUCUCUCUCUCCCCAUUUCCAAUUCAACGCGCGUAUAACGUCCCCAUUAAUCCUUUCCUCAUAAUCCCAAUCCACGAAUAACUCCUAUCCCUCCCAUGUUAUUCUCGACCGCAAACCCUAAUCGCCCCUCUCCGUCGCCUCCUCCUCCCAUGGCUCGGCGAGGUCGGAGACGAGGUUGCUCUCCUCCUUGAACGACACCGACUGCGGCAUCGCCUCCGCCUCCGCCUCCGCCUCCGCCUCCGCCUCCGCCGCGGCCGCGGCCGCGGCGGCGCCGCCUCCUUCUCCGGCUGGAGGCGGCGCAUCGCCGCCGCAGCCAUCGUGACCGCCGCGAUCACCGCCCUAAUCGCCUUCGCGGUCCCUUCGCCCCUUACGAUCGGCUUCUUCUUCUUCCCCGCAGCAGAUUCCUCCGGCGGAGAUCGAUCUCCUCCGCCGCCGCCGCCGCCUCUUCUACACCCGCUUCCGCGGCGCGCCGCCUCCGCUCUCGCUUCGAUUCUCGCCAAUUCCACCUCUAGAAGCUCAGCAUCAGCUCCUCCCCCGCCCCCGAUCGGGAAUUCGGGCUCACCGAAGGCGAAUUCGAGCGUUGGUGAUCGAACGAAGGUCACACGUACGCGGCGGCAGGUCGUUUCAUCUCUUAUUAGAUUAUUGUAGAGGAAUUUCAGAUGAUUUCUCAAUUUAUUGUAACAGGUAGCUUACUGGAGGAUGUCGCCAGAUGAGGCACUUGCGUAUGCGAAGAAGGAGAUCGAGAAUGCGCCUUUAGUAGUUGAUGAUCCUGAUCUUUAUGCUCCGUUGUUCAGAAACGUUUCAGCCUUUAAGAGGUGAGACUCUGACUUAAUUAACGUCUCUAUCAGAUGCCUAUGAAUGAGGGGCAUAUCUGUGUUAGCUUUGGAUUUGGAAUGAUCUGAAUAAAUUUGGAGAAUCUGUUCCGUUACUUAUUAAUUGACCCCGUAAACAUGAACCGUGCGCAGGGUAAUGAUUGGUCUUAUGUAAUGAUUUAGAUACUUGAGAUUAGAUAACAUAUAAAUCUCAAUGCUGAACUUAUUCUUGGAUGAAAAGGAUUGUUUAUGAUUUCAAAACAACUACUCUACUCUUAAAAGUAGAAAAUUCUAGAAAUUAGGCAUUUGGCCAAAAAAAGUCUUGGGCACUUUUGCUGCAGCAGGAAGCUUAAAUGAGCUUUUUGGCCCCAGAAGCAUUUGAAGCUUCCAAUAUACUACAGCAAAAAGUCACAUAAAUUAGUGCCUUUUUAAAUAACUCUACUCAAAGAACAUUUUUGUAGAAAUUCUAGCCAGGCCAAAUAGGCUCUUAAUGUGGUUUGUUAGUUUUCUCUAAUAUCAGGAUUGUUGGUAGUCUACUAUUUGGUAUAGUGUUUUGUAUAUAACUUUUGUCUAUCAAAGUCCACUGCUAUGCUUCUUUAAACUUGCUGUAAUAUCAUCUAUGUCUUUAGUAGUUACCAAUGUUCUUCCUGUCAUAGAGUGUCAUGUUUGCUGUAACUGUGAAAAGCAGUAUAGGAAAAGCUUACUAAAUAACAUCUUCCAGGAGCUACGAAUUGAUGGAAAGAAUACUUAAAGUUUACAUAUAUCAGGACGGUCAAGCACCAAUUUUCCACACGCCGGAUCUUAAAGGAAUUUAUGCCUCCGAAGGAUGGUUUCUGAAACUGAUGGAGGAAGAUAGGAGGUUCACUGUGAAGGACCCAAGCAAGGCUCACUUGUUUUAUCUGCCGUAUAGCUCUCGCCAGCUGCAACUUGCCAUUUACGUGCCUGGUUCACACAAUUUGAGGCCAUUAUCGCUUUUUUUGAGGGACUACGUGAACGCAAUAGCGGCAAAAUAUCCUUUCUGGAAUCGCACGAGAGGGAGGGAUCAUUUUCUAGUUGCUUGUCAUGAUUGGGUAUGUAUCAACUUUCACAAGUUUGUGUAAUCAACUAUGACCAUUUCCUUGUUGCACAUUCGAUUUAUCUGGUAAUAUGAUAACAUGGUAAUACACACAUUUUAAGAAAAAGAUGCCGUAUUUUGUUGAUAUACAUUUCCCUCUAAAUUAAUCCAGCUCUCCAUUUCAGAUAUGAGUACAAUUUUAGUAUUUCUACAGUGCAUAUAGCAUGAGCAUAUUCUGAAUCUUCUCAUCUCAGAGCACAAUUUGAUAUAGAAACUAUUGUUUUUGUUGUCAAAUGAGGGUGAAAAAUAUUGGUGGCAAUUUCACAAACAUUUGGUGGGCAAUUUCACAACCCACUCUCUACAAGCAUCAAAUGGAGAGCCAAGCACAAGAGCAAUAACAAAUUAAACCAAAUCACAAGAACACAAGGAUUUACGUGGUUCGGCUAUGCCUACAUCCACGGGAGAACAAUGCAAAAGAAGCUUCCACUAUAAAUUUGGAGAUUACAAGAGAGAUUCAAAUGGGAGAAAUAUCACCUUAACUCCAAGGUAUAAAAGAGAGCUCCAACAAUCUCUAGCUCUACCCAAAUGGUGUAAACCACACCUCACAAGGAAGAUCUCACCUCCUUCUUGAUAGAACUAAGAUCAAAACCAAGCUCUAGGGUUUUCUCUCUUUUCUCCCACUCCUUUCUCACUCUCUACUUCUCUCUCUAUUUUUCUCUCUCUAUUUUAAUAUCCCACUUUAGCUCCCUAAGAGAAGAGGCUAACAAUAUGGGCCUUUGGAUCAAAAGAACUAUGAUCCGAAAGUUUACAAAUAGGGACCCACAUACAUGAUAAGAAAAUAUAGAAAGAGAAGAUUUUGACUUCACCAAAUUAUAUAGCCCAAAUAGUAAGGCCCAAAUAACAAAUAGGCCCAAUAUAAUUAGCUCAACAGUUUUUGUGAACCAAGUGGGCUAGCUCUGCAAAUGAACUGAGCUUCUUUUAUUAUAUGAAUCAUCUUUAUACAUUUCAUCCCUAAUUUUCGCUGCAUUAAGGUUUUCAUGUGGCCUUGUCAUGUUCUGGUUGUUGGCUAUGGUGGCUUUCGAACUUGUUACUAUUCCUUUCGCCAUCUAUGUAAUAUUAACAAGGAUUAAAUGCAAAUUUGUCCAGGGGCCUUACACAACAACAGCUCAUGAGGAACUGUUGAAGAACACUAUAAAAGCUCUCUGCAACGCCGACAGUUCAGAAGGGAUAUUUAUUCGUGGAAGGGAUGUUUCUCUCCCAGAAACAACAAUCAGAACUCCAAACAGACCUCAGAGGUAUGUCGGCAAAAGGCGAGUUUCUCAGCGGCCAUUUCUAGCCUUCUUCGCUGGUAAUGUUCACGGAAGGGUUAGACCAAUCCUUCUCAAGUAUUGGGACGGGAAAGAUGACGACAUGAGAAUCUACGGCCCUCUCCCGAAUAGGGUAUCCCGACAAAUGUCUUAUGUAGAGCAUAUGAAGUCUAGCAAGUUCUGCAUCUGCCCCAUGGGGUACGAAGUGAACAGCCCCAGAAUAGUGGAGGCUAUCUAUUCAGAAUGUGUGCCGGUGAUAAUUGCCGACAACUUUGUGUUACCGUUCGAUGAAGUGUUGAACUGGAGCGCUUUUUCGGUGGUUAUUGCGGAGAAGGAUAUACCCAAUUUGAAGAAUAUACUUUCGGGGAUUUCUCUAAGGCGGUAUCUAGCUAUGCACACCUGCGUGAGCAUGUUGCAGAAGCACUUCUUGUGGCAUGCUAAGCCGCUGAAGUAUGAUCUGUUUCACAUGGUUCUGCAUUCAAUCUGGUUCAAUAGGCUUAAACAAAUUGAAGUCCAGGAGCAAUAACAUCCUCUCUGAUGUUUCAUGCGUCGUGGGUUUUGGUCUUCGACCUUGAUGAGAAGCUUAUUUGGUCAUUAAUUGCAGAAGAUCGAUGACUUUAGUUGAGGCCAAUACUGAUAAAGGGGAACUACUGUUGUGAGGAAAGAUGCCAAGUUACAAUUAUAGUUUGUCUAUAUAUUCCUAUCGAUUUGAUGGUAUAUCUCCAAUGGAUGAUGAGAUUGUGGACUUCAGGUAUGUACAAAAAAAAAAAAAAAAAAAACCAUUUUUUCAUUCUGAGGGAUAGGUAGACCUAAUUUACAUUGAGAGAGAGAGAGAAAGAGAGAGAGAGUUACUAUGGUCAUCCUCUAAAUUAUGCUGAUGCUCAUUUGCAGGUUGGACCCAGCAGUUCUGAACUGCACCAAGGGAGUCCUCAGCAUAUUCAAGUAACUCUACACUUCUACUUUGGCCUCAUAACAGUAUUAUAUUAAGUUUAUACAGAUGUCAUAAAAUAUAUAUAUAUAUAUUUCCUUCAGAAUAAAUAUAUAUAUAUAUUAUAUAUCAUUCUUUUUGUAAGUCUCUCAAUAAAAUUGGAAUUCAUAAGGAAAAAAAAAAGUAAAAAAAGACGGUAAUAAAGAAUUUUAGUAAGGUGAGUAGAUGCUCUCAGACAUCGAAGAAAUUGGAUGCUACGUAUAUAUAUAUAGUUUAUUUUCUGGAUCUACUCAUUGGGAAUGUAUUUUACUAGAUACUCUUUCUUUAUGCAAUACCAUAUUCAAAUGCCAUAUUCAACUCCAUAGUAUGGAGUUAUCUUAUUACACAUUUAUACUGAUUACAUACAUACUCUCUUCCUACAAAGUUCGAGCAGUUUUUANAUGUAUUUUACUAGAUACUCUUUCUUUAUGCAAUACCAUAUUCAAAUGCCAUAUUCAACUCCAUAGUAUGGAGUUAUCUUAUUACACAUUUAUACUGAUUACAUACAUACUCUCUUCCUACAAAGUUCGAGCAGUUUUUAGAACUUUUUUCCUCUUUAAAACCGAAAUAUACAUGCAAAAGCACACCAAGGCUAAGAUCCUCUUUUGCUAUUUUUAAUCUCAAGCAAUUGGAUAGAUAACGACCUUUCCAGUAGCUCUUCCGGUUUCGAGAUAAGAGAAUGCCUCGACCACCUGAGUGAAAGGGAAUGGCCCCUUUGGGUCCAGAAGAGGCUUCACCUUCCCACUUUCGAGAUAAGGGUUGAGCUUCGCCAGGAUCUCCCCAUUGGACGUGACGAUGAAUAUGAAGCCCGGGGGCGUGACUGGGCCUAUGAUCACCACGACGCUGCCCCCUUCUUUCACUGCUUUCACCGCUCUUUCGCACUGACCUGUUAUGAAAGUAUAACACCCAUAAGGAAUAUCAAAUGAGAAAUUUGAGAAUGUACAUGCAUCCUAGUUAGCAAAGAGCUUAAAUUUUAGAAAGAUAUAGCAAAGGAAAAUGAUUAAGCAAUACCAGGGGGAACAUGAAGGAUGAAGAUUAUGCGAUUCAACAAGUUAAAUGAUGUAGGUGACACAAAAGAUGUACUACGCCUAAGUGAUGCAGAAAUUACGACACUCGGUAGGUCAAGAAAUUCUUUUUGUCAGAAUAACUCCAUGAGGUUUCAAAAUGCAGAGAGAUCUUAUGUUGAGGAAUCACUAAAGUUUUUGCAGGAUGAAUUAGCAGAGAUGGACAAGUUUGUUUACUGAUUAACCAUCCGUCUUCAGAAGAAGAAUCUGUGGUCUACGCAUCGUCGCGCCUUUUUCCUUUCGAAGAAUUAUUUUAACAAUUUCACAAGCUAAUCAAGUAGGUAGAUUAUCUUACCAACAGCAUCAUACACUACAUCAAACUUCUCAGGUAGUUCUUCAAUGUUUUCCUUGGUGUAGUCAAUCGCUAAAUCGGCACCCAGACUCUUCAACAGCUCCAGCUUUCCGGUGCUAGAAGUGGCCGCAACUUUCGACGCACCGUAGACAUGCUUUGCUAGCUGCAAAAGAAUACCAACAUUUCAACUCACAUCGACAACCGUUUGAAGCAAGCAUUUCGAGAUCAUCAAACCAGUGAGUCUGUUUACAUACUGCUCAAGCCGAAUUAAUGAUGGGAUACCGAACUCGAGACGCGAACUAAAGGAAAAGAAGAGCUUUUAACCUGAAUCACAAGCGAGCCGACUCCGCCAGCGCCACCCAAAACAAGAACCGAUUUACCCGCGGAAAAUCCAGCUCUUUCGAGGCCUUCGUAUGCCGUCUCGAUGGCCAAAGGAAGACUAGCAGCCUGCGCAAAGUCCAGAUUCUUAGGUUUUACAGCCAGCAGCUUCUCCUCGACUGCGGUGUACUCCGCCAGCGAUCCGAAUUGCUUCAGAUUCUCCAACGCCUUCUCGUUUAUGUCCCCAUAUACUUCGUCCCCUUCUUUUAGGUUCUUGACUUGGCUACCAACCUUCACCACGAUGCCGGCCACAUCGUAACCUGGUACCGUCUACCAAUCAAGAGAACAUAGAAUAAAUUGCACAGUUUGGUGAAUAUAUCUGAAUAUUUAGAGAUUAAUAAGUUGACUACAGGAAAUAUAAAAGGGUAAAAUGCGAAAAUCAUCAAUAUACUCAAUUACUUAUAUUGCAAUUUUAGUCCCGGAACUUUUCACUUAAAGACUGCAGUCCAUGAACUUUUCCAAAUAUUGUAAUUUCAUUAAGACUCACAACUAGGGGAUGACCAUCCAGGUCAUUGUUCACGAGCUAGCUCAUGUUCGGCUCGAAAGGAGCUCGAGAUCGAAUAGCUCAUUUAGUAAACGAGCCGAACACAAGUUGGGGUCAGCUCGUUCGUGUUCGGCUCGAUAACAGCUCGAAUAUGUAUAUUUUAUAUUUAUGUAAUUUAUACAUUUUAUAUUUAUAUUUAUAUAAAUAAAUAUAAAUAAAUAAUUAUAUAUAUAAUAUAGGUUUUUAUUAUUUGAUUUUUAACUCAACCUAAAUAUAAAAUCCAACUCAAUUAUAAAAAUGCCAAUAUAUAUGUAAAAUCUCAACUAUUAGAUCAAAAUUUAAUAGAAAAGAUCUCAUAAAUUUAUUUUUUCUAUAUAUUCUUUCUAACCCGUUUAACUUGUUGUUCGUGGGCUGUUUCGUGGGCUAGCUCCCACACGAGCUCAAAAUUUUUAUACUUUAACGAGCCAACUCGUGUUCGGCUCGUUUCAUAUGAGCUAGCCCCAGCUCGCUCGUAUUCCCGGGCUCGCUAGUGUUUGGCUCAGUGACACCCCUACUCGCAACUACGUAAAAAACUUAGCCUUUUACUACAAAACAACAAGUUCAACCAUUAGGUAAAAUGAAUUUUUUCUUUUGGUACACUCAAAAUAGGGUCCAAAAGAUAAUUUUACAACGAAAGCUUUAUUUUAUUUCAUUUUUUUUUUCUUUUGCAUGGACAGGGAUGGAAUCACAGUACAUAUGAGAAAAGUAAUCAGGCCAAGUUGUAGUAUCGGAAUAGUACAGGAACCUAUAAUUCAUUUUCACCCUAAAUAGUUUGAUACUGUUAUCUUCUCCAUAAUUACACAAACCUAUAAAUUUACUGCUCUACAAGCGUACCAAAAAAAAAAAUGAAUAAUACAAUGUAUUCUUUGUAAAAAUUUCAAAUUAUCUAAAGCAUCGACAAAACUAAGAGGGAAAAAAAAAAAAAAAAAGGAAAUAUAUCGACGCACCGGUAAGGGCGAAUCCGUGGCCUUAAAUUUGCCCUGCCUCCGCUUAAAAUCGACGGGGUUGAGCGCGGCGGCGGAAACCCUAACGAGGACCUGAUCGUCCCCGACCUCGGGAACGGCGACCCCGUCCUCGAGGCGCAAAACCCCCGCGUCCCCGUACUCGUCGUAGAUCCACGCCCUCAUCUUCUCCGGGACCUCCGACGGGGCCACGACAACGGCGUCGGCCGAAGCCGCCGCCGACAUCGAGCUCGCAAAGACCCUAGUAGAGGGAGAAGCGACUCCGCCGCCGCCGCCGCCGCCGCCGCCGCGUCGUCCUCGGAGGCUACGAGGGCGAAGGAGAGGGGGAACGAGGUAGGGUUUUGAGGGGGAGGCGGAGGAGGAGGAGGAGGAGGAGGGAGGAGGUACGAUGGAGAGUGUGGGGCAUGGUGCGGUGGUAUUAAUAAUGGCGAUUUAAGCGUCGUCGCUUUCCCGGGGGUUGUUGGGGGAGGACACGUGGAGCGGAGGCAUUGGAGGGGAGAGAGAAAGAGCGAGUGCGGAUACGGUCACCGAAAGUAAGAGUAAGGGACUCUCUCACCGCUUUGGUUCAAUGAAUGGGACUGUGUUUUCGUUUAUUGAUUGAUAAUAAUGACUAGGUUCAAUGAAUAUUGGAUAAGUUUUAAAUAACACUCUGUAGUUUUUCACUUUCUCACUUUUUUUAUUUUAUGGUGUAAAAUAUAUCAAUUUAGUAUUCUAUAUUUUAUUUUAUUUUUUUCUUCGUUAACUUUUUAUUAAAUUAAAUACAAAAAACUUUAAAUACCCCACCGCAGCUUAUAGAAUAUUUACUUUAGUAUUCUUUAGUUUUAACUUUGUCACUGAUUUAACGAAAAAAAAUUAGUGAAAGGAAUAACAAAAAAAAAAAAAUAUCAAAGGGUGCAAAAAUGAUACACUUUAAACCACACAUGUACUCAAAUAAAAAAGUACAAAACAACAUGAUAGUAUUUGAAGUUUUUAUAUGAAUAUUUAUCAACCACCUAUAGUUCAAAAAAUUAUACUUAGAUAUUUUAUAAUUUUAUUUUUUUAUUUUAAUAAAAAUAAUAUUUUAGGAUAAUAGUACUUUUAACGCUACAUCUAUAUUGCAGGAUAGUUAAAUAUAAUUUUGCAAACUACGAGGCGAUAAAAUAAACAUAAUAUACUGCAAAAGGGCAAAUUGAAGUUUACUCUUAUUUUUAUUACUCUUAAAGAAUGGUUGCAUUUUCAAUAUAUCACUUGUUAUACUUAACCUCCAAAAUUAAAAAUAUAGAUACUUUAACUCCCUUGGAAAUUAAAAAUAUGUAAGAGGAUUAUGAUGCUAAAAUCUAUUUAUAAUCUAUAAUCUAUAAUUCGAUAUUAAUAUCUAAAAAUUUUCCACGUGACAGCCUCAUCAUCGUUAACGUAUGUGGGCUCCACAUACUAGUAUUAUCUCCCUUAAACUAACAUUUCAAUUUCCUUUAGUCGCUACUCUCCUUUUUUUUUAACUUGCUUUUUUCUUUCUUGAGCUGUUUCUUCACUUCCUCAAACCGAGCCCCUUUCCUAACUAAGAUAGGGUUCAAUGUAGGGGUGUAAAACGGGCCGGAUGGCACGUGGGCCGUGCGGCCCAGCACGGACUCGGGCUGGGCUACAGCACGACACUGAUACUGUAGCACCAGUGCCGGACGAGCCUCGGGGCCGCUUUUCUGUGGCUCGACGGCUGGGCCCGGCACGGCACGGCCCAAAACAGACCCCUACCUCCUCCCCGACCCCCUCAUCCGAGAACCCCUCCUCACUGGAAAGUGGAAACCCCACCCCCCCGGAAAACCCCAGCGCCUCCCGCCUUCAUUAAUUUUUUUUUUAAAAAAAAUAAUACAAAUUUAUUUUUUAAAAAAAAAAAUUAAAUAUUUACCAUAUUAUAAUUAUUUUAUAAAUUUGUAAAUGAUUUAAUCAAAUUUAAACUAAUUUUUUAAAAAAAAUUAAAAAUAAAUAUUUUAGGAGGCGGUCCGAAACACGGCCCAACCCGGCACGGCCAGUACCUCCCGGGCCGAAGAGCCGUGCCGGGCCAGAGGCUAGGCUGCUCUGGCCGGCCCGACACGGUCCGAAAUUGAAACCAGCCCGGGCCGGGCUGACCGCUAGUUCGUUUCAAGCUGAAAAAUGUGGGUUGUGCCGGCCUGGCCCACAUUACACCCCUAAUUCAAUGCAUUGUCGUUCCGUCAACCCUCCCCGCCACUUCCUCUAUCGUCAUUUCCUCUACUGGAUUCACACACUUUCACACCCUUAAAAAUAAAAAAAAAAAAUGAAUUAUUCCUACCCAGCUUAAGGUAUUAUUUGUGUUUAGACUUUUCUUUUCACCUAUUUUAGUUUCAACUUAUUUCUUCCAUCCUAGAACCUUAAAAUAAAAGGAUUUCAAAUUCCCCAGCUUUAGAAGGACAUUGCUUCUUCUACUGCAUCUUCAGCUUUUUUUUUUAUUUUUUCUGUUCUUCUUUUGCUAGCAAUCUCCUGCUCCUUCUUACGUAUUAUGCUGUUUCUUCUUCUUCUUCUUCUUAUGUACUCUACACCUUUUUCAUUCAAAUUGAAUUUAAAAUUCGAAGAAACUCACUUAUUUCCAUCUCUUUCUUCUAUUAAUUUAUUUACAUAAGUUUUUUUUUUUUUUUAUGAUACUCACAUUUUAUUGUUGUUGUUGCUGCUGCUGUUUCUUCCGCCGCAUCCGUAUAAAAAGCAGUGAUGAUGAGAACCUGCUGAAAUAAAGAUGAACAAUGAUGAUUGAAAAUUAGAUAAUAGAGCAAGUUUAAUGACUUAAGGGCAACUCUUGCACCUAUUUAUGUUUUAAAAAAAAAUGCUACCAAUUACUGCGGAAUAAGAAGUUUGUUUUGCUUUAUGAAAAAACAAUGAGGAAAACCUAACUAUCUUAGCUCAACUAUUUUUCUUAAAGCUUAAUUUUAAAAUUCGAAUAAAAUACGUUACUUUCAUCUACAUCUUCUAUGUCUUGUUAAAAAUACCUUUGUUAUGUGAAAAUACAAUAACUUAUAGUUUUCUAUUAUUUUUUACUUUGAUUUCGAGCAUAAACCUAGCUCUUCAUUUCUCUGCUGAAGUUGUAACGCCAAAACCUACAUAAGUUUUGGAUGGUCUGCUACUUCGUAGCCAACUAUUUUGCAGUUGUUCAACAAUUUUCUAGCCUUCAGUUGUAAUCGCAACGAAUCCUUGUCAUGUAUAAAUUUGUUUUUCAUAUUUUACCCAUAUUAUGUUGCUCAAAUAACGUUCGACUUGAGUUGGAAUAUUUGAAUUUUUAUAAAUCGCAAGCAACAUUAGUAUAUCUACAUAUGUUUAUUGAUUAAUGAUGUUUUCUUUGUUGAUUUUGAGUUUAGCCAUAUUUUAUUGAUCAAAUAAUAUUUUCAUUUUUGCUUUCAAAUUGUUUUAGUUUUAGAAAUUUAAUGUAUAAUAAGCUAUGAUGACAAACACAAUCUAAAGAAAUAGAAUCAGACAGAAAGAAGUGAUGAUUAAUUAUCAUCCAAAGGCAAUUUAGCCGGCAACAUGGCUACUGUAAUAUGGGGUUAUCUUAAUGCAUAUAUAUAUAUAUAUAUAGAGAGAGAGAGAGAGAGAGAGAGAGAGUGCUUGGCUACUAUACUUUGAUGAGUAUAGAGUCUAUUGUACUCAUAAAUUUUUGGCUGUUUUCACCCAUUCGAUUAUACUAUUCAACCAACCACCCACUCAAUUCUAGGGGGCCCACUAUCAAUUUAACAGUAAUCACUUUCAUUCUACCCGCACAUUUUUUUAUCUGAACGGUCGAAAACUUAUGAGUACAAAAAACUCUAUACUCAUAUGAGUAUAAUAGCCCCAGCCUAUAUAUAUAUAUAUAUAUAUAUAUAUAUAUAUAUAUAUAGUCCAGCUAUGGUGCUUGUAAAAGCACCAAGCACUUGGUGCUUAUAAGUUUUUUACCGUUAGAUAUACGCCUCGAAUCAUUUUCAACCAUUAGAUUAUACUAUUCAACCAACCACCCACAUCAUCUUAAUCGCAUAUCUUUUAAUCCAAUGGCUAAAAAUCUAUAAGCACCAAUAACUUGUACUUUUAAAAGCAUAGGAGCUCAAUUCUAUAUAUAUAUAUAUAUAUAUACUGGUUACAUACACAUUGCUUGUACACCAAAAGUAUUCUUUAUAGACGAAGCUUGAGCAGUUUCAAGAACUCUUUCCAGUUUCCAAUCGAAUUUGUCCAUGCUUUGCACACACCAAGGUGCUAAGAUCCUCUUUUGCUAUAUUUAAUCUCAAGGAAUUGGAUAGAUAACGACCUUUCCCGUAGCUCUUCCGGUUUCGAGAUAAGAGAAUGCCUCAACCACCUGAGAGAAAGGGAAUGGCCCCUUCGGGUCCAGAAGAGGCUUCACCUUCCCGCUUUCGAGAUAAGGGUUGAGCUUCGUCAGGCUCUCCCCGUUGGACGUGACGACGAAUCUGAAGCCCGGGGGCGUGACAGGGCCCGUGAGCACCACGACGCUGCCCCCUUCUUUCACUGCUUUCACCGCUCUUUCGCACUGACCUGUUAUAAAAGUAUAACACCCAUAGGGAAUAUCAAAUGAGAAAUUUGAGAAUGUACGUGCAUCCUAGUUAGCAAAGAUCUUAAAUUUUGAAAAGAUAUAGCAAAGGAAAAUGAUUAAGCAAUACCAGGGGGGACAUGAAGGCUGAAGAGUAUGUGAUUCAACAAUUUAAAUGGUGUGGGUGGCAUAAAAGAUGAACUAAGCCUAAGUAACGCGGAAAUUACAACAGUUGGUAGGAAAAGGAAAAAAAAAAAAAAAAAAAAAAAAAUCAGAACAACUCCAUGAGGUUUCAAAAUGCAGAGAGAUUUUGUGUUGAAGAAUCACUAAAGUUUUGGAGGAUGAGUUAGCAGAGAUGGACUAGUCAAGUUACCGAUUAACGAUAUGUCUUUAAACAGUGGCAUUCAGGAGAAUCGAAGAAUCAUUUUAACAAUUUCACAAGCUAAUCAAGUAGGUAGAUUAUCUUACCAACAGCAUCAUACACUACAUCAAACUUCUCAGGUAGUUCUUCAAUGUUUUCCUUGGUGUAGUCGAUCGCUAAGUCGGCACCCAGGCUCUUCAACAGCUCCAGCUUUCCUGUGCUAGAAGUGGCCGCAACUUUCGACGCACCGUAGACAUGCUUUGCUAGCUUCAAAAGAAUACGAAACAUUUCAAUUCACAUCGAUAACGGUGUGAAGCAAGCAUUUCGAGAUCAUCAAACCACUAGAAACACGAACUAAUGAAAAAGAAGAGCUUUUAACCUGAAUCACGAGCGAGCCGACUCCGCCAGCACCACCCAAAACAAGAACUGAUUUACCCGCGGAAAAUCCAGCUUUUUCAAGGCCUUCAUAUGCCGUCUCGAUGGCCAAAGGAAGACUAGCAGCCUGCGCAAAGUCCAGAUUCUUAGGUUUUACAGCCAGCAGCUUCUCCUCGACUGCAGUGUACUCCGCAAGCGAUCCGAAUUGCUUCGGAUUCUCCAACGCCUUCUCGUUUAUGUCCCCGUAUACUUCGUCCCCUUCUUUUAGAUUCUUGACUUGGCUACCAACCUUCACCACGACGCCGGCCACAUCGUAACCCGGUACCGUCUACCAAUCAAAAUAACAUACAAUAAAUUGCACAGGCUUCGUGAAUGUAUCUGAAUAUUUAUUAGUGAUUAAUAAGGGUAAAUGCGAAAAAAUCAUCAACAUGCGUUAUUACUUGUAUUGUAAUUUUAGUCCGGGAACUUUUACCUUAAACACUGCAGUAUCCGUGAAUGUUUCCAUCUAUUGUAAUUUUAUUCAUACUCUCUCAACUACAUAAAAAUAUUAACCUUUUACCACAAAAACAACAAGUUUAACACCAUUAGGUAAAAUGAAAAGAUCAUUUUACAAGGAAACAUCAUUUUUUUAUUUUAAUUUGCUUUUGCAUGGACAGGAAUGGAAUUACAUUACAUAUGAGAGAAGUUAUCGGACUAAGUUGUGAUAUCGGAAUAGUACAGGGACCUACAAUUCAUUUUUACCCUAAACCGUUCUCUUCUCCGUAAUUACACAAACAUGUACAAAAAAUGAAUGAGAUAAUGUAUUCUUUGUAAAAAUUUCAAAUUACCUAAAGCAUUAAACAUAGAAAAAUAAGAAAAAUAUAUGAGAAUUUUUUUGGAUUAAAAAAAAAAAAAAAAACUCACAGGUAAGGGCGAAUCCGUGGCCUUAAAUUUGCCCUGCCUCCGCUUGAAAUCGACGGGGUUGAGCGCGGCGGCGGAAACCCUAACGAGGACCUGAUCGUCCCCGACCUCGGGAACGGCGACCCCGUCCUCGAGGCGCAAAACCCCCGCGUCCCCGUACUCGUCGUAGAUCCACGCCCUCAUCUGCUCCGGGACCUCCGACGGGGCCGCGACAACGGCGUCGGCCGAAGCCGGCCCCGGCUUCGAGCUCGCGGAGACCCUAGUUGAGGGAUAAGCGCCGCCGAGUUUGUAGCGGGCUCCGACGACGCCGCCGCCGCCGCCGCCGACUCCUCCUCCUCCUCGUCGGAGGCUACGAGGGCGGAGGAGAGGGGGAGCGAGGUAGGGUUUUGAGGGGGAGGGGAGGGGGAGGAGGGAGAGGGAGGAGGAGGAGGGGCAAUGGAGAGUGCAGAGCAUGGUGUGGUGGUGGCGUUAAUGGCGAUUUAAGCGUUAUCGCGUCGCGGGAGACGUUGGGGAACGACGCGUGGAGCGAAGGUAAUGGUGGGGAACGAAAGAGUGGGAGUUUUUUAACUACUAAAUUUACAAAAUCUUUUAAAUUUAAAAAAUAAAUAUUUAAAAUUAGGUAAACUAUUCACUAUUUUUUUUAAAAUAAUGAAUCAAAUGAUUCAUCAUUUUUAUCUUAAUUUAUAUUUUUUUAUAUCUAAAUUUUUAAAAAAUUAUAGUAUUAAACACUAAAAUUAGUUUUAAUUUUUUGAAGAAAACGACGAAUAAUUUAGCGAAUUUAAAAAACGAUAAUUCAUUUGUAGAUCUAAUUUUGUAAAUAAAUUUUUGGAAGACUAUUUUUUAAUUAUUAAUAAAAAAAAUAGUGGGUGUGGAUACGGUUACGGUCGGUAAGAGUAAGGGAAUUGUCACCGCUUAGUUCAAUGAAUGUGACUGUGUUUUUGUUCACUGAUUAACAUCUAUUAGGUAUCGUUUGGUUCAGGGAUAAGCAAAAAGUGGGUAUUCCAGGGAUAGGUAUAAAUUGAGGUAUAAGCGGGGAUUAGAUCAAUUUUGCGUUUGGAUGAAAAUUGGGUUAUUCCUGCGAAUAAGAAAAAUAACGUUUGGUUAGGUAAGAUGGAAUAAGAUUUAAAGUGGGUAGUUAUAAAUAAAAAUUAAUAAUAUUAUCACUUUUUUUUUUAUAUUAGAAUUUAAAUUUUUAUAUUUUAUAUUUAUAUUUUAAAAUUUAAAAUUUUAACUUUUAAAUUUCAAAUUUUGAAAUUAAAAUUUAAAAUUUAAAAUCUCAAAUUUUAAAUUCAAAAUUUAAAUUUUAAAUUUCUAACUUUAAAUUUAAGAUCAAAUUUAAAUUUGAAAAAAAAAUAAAAUUCAAAUUUAAAUUUCAAAAAUUUAAAUUUUCAAAUUUUAAAUUUAAAAUUUAAAAUGUGGAAUUUAAAAUUAUAAACUUUAAUUUUGAGAUUACAAAUUUUAAAUUUUAAAUUUAUAUGGAUAUUUAUUUAUAUGGUAAACUUUAGAAAAAAAUUAUAUUUAACUAUUCCACAAUUUUAUUUUUUAUUUUAAUAAAAUUAAAAUUAUAGGAUGAUAACAUUUUUAACGCUAUAUCGUGGUAUAGUUAAGUAUAAUUUUAAAAAUUAUUAUGCCGCAAAUAAAAAUAUAAUAUACCAUAGAAGGAUAAAUUAAAGUUUAUUCUUGUUUAUUUUACUUGUCACAAUUAAUCUUCAAAAUAAAAAAUAUACGUACUUAAUUUUCUUUGAAAAUUUAAAUUAUGUAUGAGGGUUACAGCGUUCAAAUUAAUAUUAUUAAAAAUUAAAAUUUUACAGAAUUAAAAUGACAGGUUAGCAAAAAAUAGUUGAGUACUAAUAGCAUAAGAUUUUAGAGGGUUAAGUGCAUAUUAUUUUAAUUUUUUAUUUUAGCCUUAAUUUUAACAAUAAUACACAGUGUUAGUGUAUAAAUAUAGACUACUUCAAUAUGUAAAAAUGUGACAUGUUUAUGCAAUACUUUUGUUUUUUUAUCAUUUUUAAGAUAACAAAAGCGAAAAAAAUGAUGGAACGAUUCAUUAAACAAUAGAUAGUGUAUAAAAUAUUAUAUGUAAGUUUUUCAUAUUUUCUUAUAAUUGUUUGAUUAAUAUCUUAAGCCCAAUUUUGCUCUUUCUUUUCCCUUAAUCCCUCCCCAUUGUAGAUCCUAACUUUCUUCGUCACAUCCAAUUCUCUCAAAAUAAUUAGGAUGUAACACUCGUCUCAUAUUCUGGCUAGCAAACCAGUUCUUAUACUAAGAGCAUAUUUGUUUGGGUGGAAGUGGGAUCAAAGUGGAGAGUAGCGAAAUCGUUUUCAUCAUAAAUGAUCAUUUUCGUUGUUUGGUUCGCCAUAAAAAAGUUACGAUCGAAACUCGAGUUAACGUCAAAUGGCGUAAUUGACUUCAGCCUAUCAUGGGCCGAAGUCAAUUACGGUGAAGAGAGGUGAAGAAAAAAUAAUAAAAUAAUAUAAUAGGUAAAGAUAAUUAUAUUUAAAUAUAUUUAAUUAUAUUACUAAUUACUCUUUUAUUCUGUUGGUAUAUUUAAAAUAUGAUAAAAAUUGAUUAAUUAAAUUUUAAUAUUUUUUAUUUAGUUUGUACAAUUAAAAUAUAAUAAAAAUUAAUUAAUUAAGUAUUAAUAUUUUUUACUGUAUAAUUUUAUUAUUAUAUUACUAUAAUUUUUGUAUAAAAAAUAAUUUAGUUGUUUUAAAUUAAAUUUUAAUUAUAUAAAAAUAUAAUUAUAUUAUCUUUAUUUAUUAAAUAUUUAUUAUUAUAUAUAAAUUAUAGCUUUACAUCAUACAUUUUUUAGAAAACAAACAGCAUAACUAAUAAAACUUCACUUUCAUAACUACGAAACAAACAGCAGGAAAGUAGUUUUCACCGACAUCCACUUCAACAAAAAGUCCACUUCAACCUAAAGUCCAAUUUCAUUAAAACAACAGGAAAGAAGUAGUUUUCACCGAAAUCCACUUCAACAAAAAGUCCACUUCAACCUAAAGUCCAAUUUCAUUAAAACAAACAUACCCGAAACGUAAUAACUCGACUCACUAGUACUAAUAAUUUGUUAAUCCCAAAUAACUAAGUCAAAAUAUUUAAACUUGAUUAUUAUUAUUAUUAUUAUUAUUAAACCCUCGAUCUUAUAUUCCUAUAUUCCUUUUUUCUAUCCUAUGUACAAUUGUGGGGGUGCAAAAAAUAUAUGACAAUUUUAAUUAGCAAUUGUUGUGCUUCUACAACACUCAUACUCAUAUUUCGUUCCUACAAAAGCUGAAACUUCUUUAAAUCCUAUGACCAAAAUCAUCCUAAAAUCAUAUAGAAACCCCCAUAAAAAGAAAAAACAAAUCACACAAGUUCAUACUUCAUAGCUAAAUUAUUCUGCACGCAUUACCAAAUCAGUUUACUUCAAUGGCUUGUAAAUUAUUUUAUUCCCAGAUUACAUACACGAAUUAACCGAUACAUUCCGAACACAAGCCAGUAACAAAAUCCUUGCGACCUAAUUACAGGAAUAAAGAUUCUUGAGCAUCAGAUUUGUGUAAAAAUAAAACUGUAAAACAAGCUCAAAAAUGAAUCAAUGCUCCGUCGGUGUAAUAUAAUUCGUAUACCCAAUUUACAAGAAACACGCGGCUUAAUACUACAAGUUCCAGCUGAAGAGAUUGUAGGCGGAGAUGACCGAGCUCAGGGCGACGGCGAAGAACGCCAAGAAGGACAUGGCGACGGAGACGUUCACCAUCUUGGUGAAGUCGUCGCCUCCAAACCUCGUUACCCAGACGUCGUUGCGGGAGGCCGCGGCGGAGGACGAUGAGAUCAGAAGGUAUGCCAAUAUCUGCAAUAAUUUGAACUUGGAUUUUAAUUUUGUUAUUUGUUAAAAUACGGGCAACUUCAGCAAAGAUUGUCAUGUAACUAGAAGGUUUUGCUUAAACUGCAUAUGACAAGAGACAGAUGAACUGAAUUCUUGUGCAUGAAUAUAUUUGGAUCAAACUCAAAUCUCAUGGUGGCUUUUGUGGAUUAUAAGUUUGAAACAUGAAAAGGAUAAAAAAAGAAAAAAAGGGUCAAGUAAAGAAGCUUAUCUUUAACUGUAGGUUUAGAGCAUUCCCAGAAUACAAUGUUUAGCUCAAGAUACUAACUAAUAUGAAUUUAAAGCAUGUUUGUUUGCAAUGAAGUAGGGUGCCCGAAUAGGACGUCAUAGCAGAACUCACGAGUUCCGUUAUUUGGAUCUAUGGAACUUGUGAGAUCCCGCUGAAGCGGGCCUUACCUCCAUUGUUUUGACUUUCUCAGAUAGUAGUACAAAGUUGCCAGUUCGAGCGAACUCUGACCGCAUGGAUAUUAGCGGAUUUGUGUUUCUCCACUUAUUAGUUCCAAACACGCCAUUAGCUACGAGUGCAGCAUUUUCAAUAUUCAGUUUUGAGUUCAUAGCAGUUGCAGGACUCCUUGUUCAGAAAGAAUUUCUCCAUUUCUUUUUUCUCAGACUACAAUUACUGACCUCUCUCCAAAUAGAGGACUGCAGAUCAACAUAUAUUCAAAGUUGAUGAUAAUAAUGUUUUUAGAGAUUAUAUUUGGGUCUUAUCUUCAGUUGCUUAUUCUGAUAUAACCAUAGAUAUGACCACAAAAGUCUCACAUGUCUCUUGUCGAGUUUUUGAGUGGUCAAAAUCCAUUUCAGACUCUAAUUUUCCGACAUUUUUUGAAACUGCAUUUGAUUAUUCCUGAACACAUAUACUCCACAAAUAUACUAAAUAUGCAGCAUUUCUAGCUCUUCAAAAUUUGUGAUAUUUUCAUACAGCAGCAGUUGCCCACCGAAAAACAAACUUAUAAAUGUUUCCGAAAGUACUUGACCUCUAUUUUGCUGUGGAUUUUUUAGUUGCUGCAUAGCAGCAGUUAUGACUAACAACGGCAAUCUAAUUGAAGACAUUAUUAUCACAGGAAGUAAACUAAGUAAAAUUCAGCCAACUACAUGAGUAAAUGCCACCGGAAAAUGUUUUUACUUACCUGGUCCAUAGUCAAAUCGAGGUAGCAACUUGAUCGACGGCGGAUGAUGUACCUCCCUGUGAUCACACGGUGUAACUCCGCAAACACCUGGAACCCGGAGUACGCAAACGCAAUCACAUUCACAGCAAGUGAAUACCUGCAGUACAGGGAAAAACCUUUAAUCACUGCCUCACAAUUUCAAUCAAUCCCAGUAAAAUAAAGGCUGGUUUAUCACCUACGACAAGAACACUUGAGAUUUUAUUCUCUUUUUUUAACUUUUAAAAGGGCAUAUACAUAUAUGUAACUCUAUAAGUUUUGAAAAUUAAAUAUUUAUUAUGUUUUUUUCUUUUUCUUUUUGUUGUCAAAUAUGAAUAAUUCUAAAUUCCAAAGAAUUGUGAAUUUAUCCUGCUUCAUUGGUGAGCCAUCAAAAGUAACUUUUAUAUGCGCAAAUAACCGUUCUCCAAAUUUAAUUCAAUUUGAAUCCUAAGCUCUAAAUUCUUCAACAAAAGUUUAAAAAUAAUAAUUUUUGAACAACAUAAUACAUUUAAAAACAAAAAAUUUUGAGGACGAAUGUGUAAUAUUGCUAGGGUUCCGUAACGUACCGGUACUCCUCGUAACGGUCGAAGGAGUCGCCGGCCCACCCCUGCGUCUUAUCGGAGGCCAUGGUCGAGAACGAGAUCAAGCAGAGCACUGCCGCCGAAACCCUAAGCCCCACCGCCGCUCUCCUCACCUCCGCCUUACGCACCGACCCCGGAACCCCCCCAAAUCCCCCCCUCUCCCCCUCCCUCUCGCUGCCGCCGCCGCCACCGCCGCCACCUCCGCCUCCGGCGCCGGCGCCGCCGUCGCCGUCGACUAUGGUUCCGGCGACCACCUUCGCUAUCAUGGCGCGAUCCUCCCGCGCCAACCGGCUCGCGAUCGUCAGCGCCGCGGCGGCCAGGGGCGGCGCCGCCGCCUCCGGCGACCCCGGUUUCUCCGGCGUGUUCCGCGGCGGCGACGGGAACGGCUUCUCGGCGAGGCGGAGCGGGGAUCCGACGGCCUCGUGCCUCCGCGCGGGGGACAUCGGCUUCUCCGAGAAGCCCCGGGGCGGCGGCGGCGCUGAGGGGAUCGGCUUCUCCGCGGCCCGGAGCGGGGACCCGACGGCUUCUUCUCUCCACGCCGGGGACAUCGGCUUCUCCGAGAAGCCCCGCGGCGGCCGCGGCGGGGAGGCGACCGACCUCUCCGCGCGGCGGAGGGACGAUCGGAGCGGGGAUCCAGCAGACUCGUCUCUCCACACCGGGGACAUCGGCUUCUCCGAGAAGCCCCUCGGCGGCGCCGGCGAGGUGAUCGGCUUCUCCGCGAAGCGGAGCCGCGAUCCCACCGCUUCCUCCCGAGAAUCCCGGAGCGUCGACCUCGUAGGCGAUCCCACGGCGUCGUCUCCCGAAUCUAGGGUUUGGGGGCGGCGCGAACCCCCAUCCCGCGGCGCCGGCGCCGGCGCCGGCCCCGGCGACGACGUCGCGUUCUCCGCCGCCGCGCCCCGGAGCGGUGACCGUACCGGGGAACCCAUGGAGAGAGAGCUCCCUCCUACACCCACUACACUCCGAGAGGUAAUAAUAUUUAGGGAUUUAAAUCACUUCUAAUUAUAACAAAAAAAUAUACAAUUUUAAAUAUUUUUGUUGGUUUCGUGGAAUGAGUUGGGGGGGGGGGAUUUUAAGGACCACUUUUUAGAAAGAUUGGGGGGGUGUGAUUAUUAUUUUUUGAUUAUUUAAGACGCAAGGAAAGAAUUAUUAGCGGAGAAAAGUGAAGUGUCGAAGUGUUAAAAGAUGAUUAUAGCUUGAUCCCACUAUGAUUUGAAAGUAGUCAAAUUGUAGAAAGACCCCUCAAGUAGAAACUCAUUCUACUCUAGUCCUCAAACUCUCACUCAUUCUUCUUUUUUUUUAAUUAGGACCCCUCCGCUUUUAAUUAACUUAAUCUAAGUAAUUCGCGUCAAUUUAAAUGCCAAUUUCAAUCAAAUUUAAUGAUGAUUUUAAUUAUUUGAUAAUAAUUUUGUUAAUAUCAUAAUUUGUAUUAAAUACGGGGCUAAUGCCGCGAAAACAUAUAAUAUACGUCUAUUUUGAGAUACAAGGAUCAGAUAUUGAAUUGAAAGAAUUAGAUUAAACUCUAUAAUAAUCAACUAAAAUUGAAUUGAUAUAAGAUUACGAAAAAAAAAAAAAGUGUAAACUCGUCUGUGAUACUACACUUAAGAAUUCAGACUAAACUCAAUUUUUUUUUUAAAUAGACAUGUAAAUAUGCGAAGCAAAUAAGAUUCAAAUUUAAGAUUUGAGACACAGUCGGUAACUCAGAAGGAGGUUAUGUUGAUAUUUCGAGAUUAAUUCUCUAAUUAUAUUCAGCUUAACUUAAAUCCAAUUUAUGUACUAGGGGGUUCUAUUUCAAUAUUGGCCAUAGUUAGGGGUGUUUCCGUACAUUUUUCCCACAAAAGACGCGUAGACGUUGCUGAGAAUAUGACUAAGGCGUCAACGUCGUAGGUGUCGUCGUCGUAGUAGUAUUAUUAAGCGUGCUUUUCCGGGUAGGUUUAAGGGAUAUGGGAUUAGUGUGUUGGGUAUUAAAUGCGAGCUCAUAAUUGGAUCAUCCCACACAAUCCCCACAAUGAAGUGGAGGUGCUUUUUUGCACUUUUGGACACCCAUUUUUUCCUUUUUCUCUUUUACGACCUAGUUUGCAACAAAAAAAUAACAAAAAAGGGCGACGCGAAUGCUUCGGUCCUAAGCAAAAUUCAGGUGCUGGAUCAUAAUCUAGUAGAUACGAUAUAGAAUAAGAAUGGAGUCUGGAACCUCUGACCUAAAGUACCAUUCUUUAUGCUGCGUAAUAUCGACGUCGCUUCGCUCUUUAAGAACAUAGGGUGAGCGAACAAAGCAAGCACAUAGAAGAGCCUUGCAAAUUGAGAAAGAAAUAAGAUGCCCCUGCAGUGUGUUGAACUUGAAUCCAACACCUUUUUUCACUUGAAAGGUACAAUUAAAAAAAAGAAAAAAGAAAAAAGAAGCAAAGUAUCAAAGUUAAAAUGUUUAGCAAUGUAUAAUGGAUUGAUCAUAGGUAUCAGAAGCUGAUUCUUAGACAGAUUGGAUUCCGUUUAGUAGCAAUAUUCGGAUCUUAAUAGGAUCCGAACCUUUUGGUAUUGUAAGUUAUAUUUGGAUUUAGAGGGACCAAUACCCAAAACCAAUAAACUAUUGGACCAAAUUAAGAAUCUAAUAAAUCUGAUACUUGGAUACAUAUAAUACGUUGUGUGUUGCAUGUGAUUCAAGCAAGGAACAUUGAGAGUGUAGAAUAUUAUGGUGGAGUCCUCUUUUAACAUAAUUGCAUCACACUUUUAACUAAGUUCACUUAAAAAAAAAAAAUUUAAAUAAAUGAAGCGAAUAGUUUGCUAACACACUCUCUCUCUCUUAACACAAAAAAAAUCUUAAACAAUCGAUCUCAAUUACGGAGAAAAUAGUUGGAACUUUUCUUCGCAAUUUUAACUCGAACAACACCUCCAGAAAAGCUACUCUACCCCAAAAAAUGAAAGGAAAAAAAAAAAAACUUGUUUCUGGUGUAUCCACAUGUUUGACAAACAACUGAAUAAUUUAAGAGGAAUUAGACAACAAAGAUUCAGAUUUAUUGGGCACAAAGUUGAUUCGGAUCCGAUGAUCAACACUCCCAAACACAGACCAGAGCAAAAUUGCACUCAAUGAACACAAAGCAUCCAUAAAAAUUGUAAAUAGGAAUUCCAUGAUACAUGCAGAUGUUCAAACUAAGUUACAGCUUUUUAGUACACCCACAGUCUCUUUCCAGGUUUUCUCUUUCUAUGUAACAUCCUACAGGCAUCAAGCAAGCAUUGAUUCUUUUAAAACACCCAGAAUUUUUCUGUUCCUUCGUAUUAAGGAGAUUGCAUAUUGUAUAGUAUAAAAUAAAAAUGUUAGUGCUCAAGCACUAUGAAAGUACUCGCGAGCCUUGUAGUAUUGAUCGAGCACGACAUUGUAGAGAGGAUGCGUUGGCUUCAACAAGUUUGAAUAAGGGCCGAGUACAUCCUCAGGAGGAGGAAGUGAAUCACUAUCACUUGUACAGCUAUACUGACUCAGAGAUAGACCGCUUAGGCAGUAACACGAGUGGUAGAAGUCUCGGGACUUGCCGGGCUUGUCCUUGAAACCUCCCUCCAACACCUGUAGUAGAUGAGUUUAUAAGUGCUAUUACUGUAAAUUUUAUAUCACUCAAAUCAGCAGAUAUCCACACAGCUGCUCGAAGCAGCACUAAUGGCUUUUUCAUGAUAAUCCUCUAUAUAACUCUCUCUCUCUUGGACCUAUCAAACUUAUUUCGGCUUUGGGCCACAGAAAAAGCAUCGUAGUUUUGUAUGCCGAUCUCUUUGCCAAUGCUUGCAAGCGUAGAAAAUUCGUUUCGGAAUCUGAGCAAGAAAAGGGAACAGUGUUGCUUAAUUGUGACCAUUACCUGUGAGCACAGAAGUAUAUAGUGUUGCAAACCAAUGGUAUGGAACAGAGGACCAAUUUCAUUGUCUCUGUGCGAAAACUCAAAACCAAUAUCCAAAAAAUUUCCUGUUUCAGAAUAUAUAUUCCAUCAUACAGUUAGCACCGAAAUUGUACCAAGUCACCAUAAUAUAAACAAAAAGAAAAUAAACUAAUGGAAAAUUAACAUAUCCUUAGCAUGACAUUCCAAAAGAGAUGAGGUUAUUUUUUGUAAGAAACUGUAUUCGAAGUGUGUAUAUGAAAUUUCAGAUUCUAUGCAGGUAUAGAAGCACCAGGAAAUACAGAGAAAAUGUAAAUCAUCUGAGGAAAAAUGACAUAAAUUUUAAUUAUAUAAGGCAAUUAUCUUAAAUUUCAAAACGAGAACAUGAACAACUUUACAUAAUCUCUUACCAAUGUGAGGUCUCUCUCCAACCAAAUCAGAUGAUGCGCUCUCACAGGCACUCUUCGCUGGAGACCGCCCGUUAUUACCAAAUGACGAUUCCAAUUGUUCAUCAACAAUUGAAGAUAAUUUUUGGAUUAAAGCAAGUACGCCUCCCUAGUUAAGUUACAUAACUUCAGAACAUAAAAUGUAGGAUUUAAGAAACAGUGAUAGAGUGUCGAAUGACAAUUACUUGCCAAAAGGAAUAGCAACCGUCAACCAAUUUAUUAGUUCGACCUUGAAAUCCACAUUCCACCCCCUGACGAAAAGCAACCCAAUUCUAAUAACAACAACAAAGCCAACAUGCAAUCAGUGAGUUACAUUUUGAUAUUAUCAGCAUAUGCACAUAAGGAUUUAACCAAGAACUUAAUACAUGGAUAAUAGGGGAAUAUCAAGAGCAGUUGCGUGCAUAGCAGAAUGUCCUAUCAGUUAAUUGGAGUGCAUAAAUAUGAUAGCUUUCAAAUCACAACAAAGUGAAAAACCAUGUGACCGGUCUUUCCGAAAGAAGAAAGUACAGAUUUGUCAAAACUUAUCUACCAUUUUGCUAUGUUUUGAAAAGAUAUUAUGAUUCGUCAAUAGAUAUGCCAGAUUAAAGCAAGUUAAUUAACUCUGUGAAACAAAGAUAACUGAGGAGAAAAAGAAGGUAGCAAAAGUACUCACAAUAAGAUUAGGCAAGUCUAGUCUAUCUGCCUCAUUAAUCAAAAUCAUCGUGGCCAGCCCACAAAAUGUGUACCUUAAAAAAGCAGUUUCCAAUUUAGAGGUUAAGCUAUAAGUGUACUAACUCGAAUCGGUAGGAUAAUGAACUCAUCAGCAUGAAAUAAGUGGGGAAAGCUUCCAAUGAACAUACCCACCAUGAGCUUCAGAAUAAGGUUCUCCAGCUAUGCCACCCUCAUAUGUUUGACAUCUGAAGGGGAGACAAUUCAAUACAAUUAGAUCAUAUGGAAUAGAGUAUAUGUAACAAACUACGUGGAUGCUCGUAAGUUUAUCAAAAACCAUGACAAAUAGUAGGACUAGAAAUCCAGAAACAAAACUACAGAAAUAUCAUCUGUUGUAGUAUUGAAAAAUCAGUGUGUGUCAACUACAUUGGUUAGAAGUUCAAAAAGAAAACAUUAUGCAAAAACAAGAUAACAAACUGCCCAAAAAUAGAAAAAAUAAGCACGGAAAUGCACGUAAGCAAUAGAAUAUAUAAGGAACAAACCUCAUUAUGUAAGUUCCUAAGUCUUUCACAAGCUCAUUGUCCAGAAUGUUUAAAAGGCUUGCAACCUGAUAACAGAAAAGAGAAAACUUAAACCUUCCAAGCAGAGGGUAGAAAUUAAUGGAAAAGAAAAAAGACGAAAGGACAACCCUCUUCAUUUAUCAAAGAUUAGUAAGUGCCUUACUAAGACUACUGAUCAUCUUGAGAGCAAAAAGAAACUAAAUUUAAAAGGUAGUGUGAAGGUAGAAGUUGUUCAGAUCUCAUUGGAGACAACUUACCAGGGAGUUUCAUUUUCAGAAGAUCAGUUACAACUUACAGCCAGCGAAGGUUUCAGCAUUUUUAGCAUUUUUUUUCAGCUUAGUUUUUGGAUUAUGUUGUCUGCCAAAAAAUUCAAAUGAAUUUUUAAAGCAGUAGCCAUUUUUUUUAAAUUUCGAGAUUUGCCCUGAUACACAGGCUGAAACUUCAAUGUUCAAAAGAUCACUAUGCAGUAAAACAUCGCCAUAAAGAUAUUUUCAAAUAACACCUAACUUAGUAAAACCGACAGUCCAUGAUUCCCUAGUUAUACAAGUAACAACUAAUACUGAAUGCCAAGAUAAGGAGCGUGACCAACUUACCGAGAUUGCUGUAUAGCAAGCACGAACAUCAAUUUCACCAGCAUUAUGCAUUCUGAAUGACAGAAAGAUAGUGUACAAAAAUUGGUGAAGUAAAAGAUCAUGAAAGACUAUACUACCCGGAAACAUCUAGAUUAAAGAGAAGAAAAACAGAAAGUGUUAGUUUGCACCUCCACUUUCCAUGCAGAUUCUUUUACCUUGUAUACUAGAACUACCAGAAGGAGAAUACUCACCUGAAAGCACCUGAAGAAUCUUUCAUCCGCAACAGAAACUUGUAUAAACUAUCUCUGAGCAAGAAGAACAGAAGAUUUUAUUAGUCCUGAUAUCACCAGUAACUAGUAGAAGUUGAGAAGCUGAUGUAGUAAUAUCAUCACCUGUUAAUCGAUGACAAUGCUGUCUCACUUCCUAAAGUUACAAGUGCAUUUACUGCAGCAUAAGUUGUUGCAAGAUGAGGCAUCUAACGGAAGAAUGCAUGAAAAAUAUCAACAUUAAGAAAAACUAUUAUAAGAAUUAUUCAGAUUUUUACCAUUAUAUACUGGACAAAAUGCUUACGAACUCAUCCAUUAUGUCAAUGAAAGAAACCAAAGAAACAAAAAGCUACUGUUUGUUGCACAACUGCCCAUUACCCUUUAAAGUGAAAUUCAAAUUUUACUUAACAAUAAAAUAUCCUAAGACCUUCUCAGAGAAUAAAAGAUUAAUCGAAGACUCCUCAUAAUUCGACUUAGAUUUACUCCAAUAACCAGCCAUCCUUGCCUACAAAUUUUUGUAAAAAGCUUUAAUAGAUUGUUGUUAGAUGACUCAUCCAUGGGUGAAGAAAGAGCACUCUGAUACCCAAUAUUCCAAGAUAGUUUGAAGAAUUGGCUCAAAGAAAAGAAGUUUUAAUAUCGAUAUCCAAUAAAACAUAUCUUUUUCUAACAAAAAGGUAUGAAGAUUUCAUUCAAAAGAAUUAGAUAAAAAGUUAGAAAAUUAAGUCACCGAAAAGUUUAACAUUUCACUGAUUAGAGUGAUUUUUAAAAAAAUAAUGUCAUAAAAAACAAGGAAUCUACAAAAGGGGACAAAAUAAACCUGCCCAGGUCCACCGCCAUAUCCACCAUCAUUGUCCUGUGAUGAAACCACAAGGGAUUAAAACAUGGAUAGAAUUGAAGAGAAAAUAGUGGUUAGCAAGCUUCAAAGAAACCAUGGUGUCAAUUAGGGUAAAAGAAAACGAUGGAUUAUCAUCACAAGUGAAUGUGGAAAGAGUUCUUACAAAAAGGUUAAAAAAAAAGUUCCAGCUUCCACAUAAAAUAACAUGAAAAUCCUUCAAAAAAUAUCUUAGCAUGAUUGAAUAUAAUGCUUUUGGAUUAUUCAACCAUAUAACUUCGACUAUCACUAUGCUUUUUCUAUAUAUGGGAAUACACAUGAAAGUUCUUAGACCAAGUAAUUAGUUGUGUUCUGAUCUUCUUAUUUAGUACUUAUCAAGUGCACUUUAUUUUGCACUUUACCCUCAGCGUAGCUACUAGCUAAAUUAAUAUUCUUUAUCCUUACUUCAUUCCUUGAGGUAUGUUCUUGCUUUACACUCUGCAACAUAGUAGCAGCACUUCUUUAGUCUUUGAUUUAGCUAAGAAUAACUUUUGGCCUUAAAACCCAACUCAUUAUCUUGUUUCUGCUCUACCACACGUUUAGCUGUUCUUCUAGUUUGGACAACUAAACUAGUUUCUUCAGGCACUUGACGCCAACGCGAGAUAUGAAAUGUGGCCAUCGAAAUGGCGUGGAAGUAUACAAAAGGAAAACAAAUAACAUCAAACAUGACUCUUAUAUCAUGUAAGAACAAAUUGACUAUCUCAAACUGCUAAUACCCUUCCUUGUUUAUGUUUAAAGAUUCUGAUGUUAAUAGACCUUGUCUUUUAAGGAUAAUCUCAUAAUCCUUCUAUUGCAUCUCACUAAAACUCAAGCAAAAUAAGAAAAACUAGCAUCUAUACAAAACCACAAUCAUGAUUGACCAACUUGGAAGACCCGUUGACAAAAUUUGAAAAAGAAACAAUAAGGAAUGUCCUAUUGAUGCAACAGACCUGACAACGAGAUAAAAAGUCCACGACAGCACUCUCGAAUUCCGGGUCAAGCCGCUCUCCUAAUAAAGUAAGUGAAUGAAGAAUCCAAUAACACAGCCAAGGUCGGCUGGAACCAUGAUAAAAACUCAUCUUAGUAAAAAAUUCGAAAUAUAAUUAUGUAGAUUAUAGAUUCUUAGGCCUAGUUUGGUGACGGGGUUGUUAAAAGUACCAUUUUUAUACCAUAUAAUGCCCAAAAAUUUCAGAAGCUCUUUCAAUCUUCUCAUCUUUUAUACAAUAAAACUGCAGUUGCAACCAACAACAGAGAAGCAUGCGGCUACACGUCUACAAUGUCAGUAGCAACCAAAGAGUAUAAACGUUUUUCAAUCUUUUGGACCUUUCACAGUACAAAAAUGGUGCUUUUAGCCACCAUAGUACCAAACUACACUGUACUAGGCAAUUUUUAUGACGAAUAAAUCGGUAAAGGAACUUACUUUGCAUCAAGUACAUGAAAGCUCGGCCCCAGUAGUCUAAGUCCUCUGCUCAAAUACUCUACAUGCUUAUCACGCCACAGCUCUAGCCUACAAAAACACAUCUCACAUUCGCGACAAAGGAUCAAAAAGGCCACACUCCAAAGACAAAAACACACAUCCAAAGAGCAAUUGAGCGAAGCUAAGGAGCCGGAGAAGAUGGGGUUGGAGACGCAAGAGAGGGGAAGGAGGAGAGGGGUUACAUGAGGGAUUGGGUGUGGGGGGCGACGCCAUGGAGGACGCGGUAGAUCUCGGCGACCUUCUCCUCCACCUUUCGCUGCUCGAGCUGCGUCACCGUGAGGCGGAUCUCGCUGCGGCGGUGUGCGGCGGCGGCGGCGGACGAGAGAGAGGGCGAAGAAGGGGAGGGAGAGGGAGAGGAGUCCAUGGAUUGAAACCCUAGAUUGAUGGAGAAGGGUCUGGGGGGGAAGCGCCGGGGACGGGGACUGUGGCUUCGCGCUUUACACCUUUCGCUUUGCUCUUACUCUCUUUUAUAAGAACCAUAAUACAUAAAUUUUAGUUUAAAAAAUAAAUAAAUAAAUACUAAUCUAUCCUUUACCCUUCUAUAAAGUUUAAAAAUAAUAAUUUAUAUAUUUUUUAAAAUUUUAAAUUAAUCUGUAUACUUUUCUAAACUUGUGAUUCCUCGCAAAAAUACUCUUCUCAUUAAAUUUUUAUCAAUUUUCGUUAAAUUUUCUUCUGUAGUGUUCUCUUUUCUUUCUUUCUAUUUUUUCGCCGGCUAAAUCAUUUUUUUUUCCUUUUUAAUUAUUCUUUCUUCUCAAUCUAAAAUAAUUUCAAAUUUAAUAGAAAGAGAAUAUAUAUAUAUAUAGAGCUAGUCUCCUAUACUAUCUAUAGUACUGGGGCUCCAGUACUAUAGUCUCGUUUUUUAUUUUAGAGUGUUCAAAUCAACGAUCUACACCGUUAAAACUAAUCUAGGCUAUUUAAAGUUUUUUUAGAAAUAAAAUUUUAUAUUUUUUUUGACAUAGUUUACUUUAUGAUCAAAUCAUUUCAAAAUUGUUAAUUUUCAAUGACUACUAUAGCGAAUUUGGUGUUUAACGGUAUAGAAGAAUCUAAAUUUCUUCAAAUUUUAAUAGAAAAUAUUUUAAACUAUCUAGAUUAAGGUUAACAUUCUUAAUCUUGAAUUUAAAAGUCCUAUGCUCAAAUUUUAAAGAUUAUUCAAUUUUCACCAUCCAUUUUGACAUAAUUUAUUUACUAAGUAAACGAUGUAAAAAAAAAAAACUAAAAUUUUAUUCCUAAAAACUUUAUAUACCCUAAAUCAUAUUUAACGGUGUGGAUCGUUAAUUUGAACAUCCUAAGAUCGAAAACAAGACUAUAGUAUCGAACCUCCAGUACUAUAGAUAGUACAGUAGCCUAAUUCUCUCUCUCUCUCUCUAUAUAUAUAUAUAGAGUAGGUCUUGCGUGCUAUUAGGAGCAUGGAGCCCUUCAUGCUCCUAAGCCGUUUUCGUGAUGAAGUUUUCGAAUCAACGAUCGGCUCCGUUAGACUUGAUCUAGCAUAUUUGAAGUAUCUAGAAAAUAAAUUUUGUGAAUUUUCAAUAUUAUUUACCUAGUGAUCGAAAGGGUUCAAAAUCAACGGCUGAAAAUAAAAAUCUCAUAAAAAGUGGUGAUAUAAUACUAAAAUUUUCGAUCAAAGAUAUUUAUCUUGCUAUAGAUAGUAUAAAGAAUUUUCUAUCAAAAUUUUAUUUGAUUUGGAUACUUCUAAACCGUUAAACUUGCAAAUAGUAUAUAUCAACCAUUAAAAAUGAUUGAUUUUGAUCCCUUUCGAUCGCUAGGUAAAAGAUAUCGAAAAAUUAUAAAAUUAGGAGCACGGAGGCUUAUUACUACUAAUAGCACUCAUGACCUACUCUCUCUCUCUCUCUCUCUAUAUAUAUAUAUAGAGUCCGGCUGGGAUGCUAUCAAUAGCACCAAAGAUUUGAUGUUAUCGAAUUUUCUACCCUUAGAUUUAAUCGUUUGAUUAUUUUUACUUGUUAGAUUAUACUAUUCAACUAACCAUCCACUCAAUCUUAGGAGGCCCACAUCAUCCUAACCGCACAUUUCUCAAUUCAAAGAUUAAAAAACUAAUAGUACUAAUAACUUAGUAUUAUUGAUAGUAUUCCAGUCUAGUUAUAUUUUAUAUAUAUAUAUAUAUAUAUAUAUUAUUUGGAAAGAAAUGCUACUCUCAAAUCUCAAUUGGAGUCUUUAUUUUGACGGAUCAAAUUAGAAGCUAAGGUGAAAGAUUAUAGGACGGUAAAAAAAAAAAAAAAAAAAAAAAAANUAAUAAUGCUGUAAAAAAAGGUAAAUAUUAAUGUGCGCUCAUGCCGUCAUGCGGUUUAACUUAUUUUUACUUUGUCAUUUUAUGACUCAAAACGUUGCAUUUUUACUAUUUAGUAAUUUUAUUUUUACUUUUAUUCCAAAAAUCUACUAUGAAAUAGAAUAACAAAGUAAAUUUUUUCGAUAACCAUAACAUUGUUAAGUGAAAUUUUUUUUAAUCACAUAAUGGCAAAGUAAAAAUAUGUUAAAACAUAGAAAAUUAAAUAUAAAUUUUUGAAACAUAGGAGGGCGGUAAAGUAAAAUUGAACUAUCCCACAAGAGAGCAAAUUGAAAUUUACCCGAAAUAAAAAAGAUGAAUCCAUAGAGAAAUUACCUUAAGAUAGACUAUUUUGACCUAACUUUUCAAUUUAUUUGAUUUGAGUCGGUCAAUAAUACUUUGCCUUCAAAUUUUAUAGUUAAUCAGCUACUAUAAUGAAUUUAUAGUUGUGAAAAUCAUAUAAAGUAUGUUAAUUAAAUUUGCAAAAAUGGAUGGAGUUUUUAAAUUUUAAAGUUAAAAAUUAUUGAUUGGAUCAAAUUAAACAAAUUAAAAAAUUAAGUAGCCCACUCAAAAUAAUUCAUAAAUAAGCUAAGUUUUGUAAUUUUUAUAUAAAAAAAAUUGGUAGCAUCGCUCAAAAUGCAAUUGCCGUUGAAGAACUUUGACGCACAAACGUUUAAUUUCCAAAGUUGUUAGGGGGAUAAGUGAAAAUGUCCCCAAAACCCUUCUUCCCCGACGCGAAACUAAAGAGUGGGUUUAGGGUUUUUUUUCCCCAAACGCCAAAGAGAGAGAGAGAGAGAGAGAGAGAGAGAGAGAGUGAAAAUGGCGAUCGCGGUGCUCGCUCGAAGAGCCAUUACGCGAUCUCGCUUCUCUUCUCCGAGCUUUUUGAGGGUCCUCGCCUCUUCCCCAAUCUCUCCCUUCUUAAGGGUUUCUGAAUGGAGCUUCUCCCAAUCGAUCUCCAGGUAUAAGCGUUAUUCACCCUCUUGAUUCCGUUAUCCGAUCUUAUUAUUCUCAUCAAAGCCCUCUUUUUCGUAUAAAUUUGGGAGAGGUGCUUUUGAGAUGCUCGUUUCUAAUGAGGAUUUAGCCUUGUGUUCUUAUCGUAGCCUUGAUUUGGUGUAGUGUUUGGUUUUGAGUGCUUUUUUUCCCCCUCCCUUUUAUAUCAUUUUCCUGUUGAUAUAACGUGAUUUAUUUAUAUAACCAUUAAAAGCUUCGAUUUUUAUUCGUUUUGCUAUAUACACUUUGUUAUACUUUAUUUAAUUGGUUUUUUUUUCAUGGUCAAUUUCUUAUCCAGGAUCUUUUUAUCCCAACUAGUUUGUUUGAAGUAGAAAGAGUACUCCUCUUUUGUUCCACACAUGCUUUCGAUGGAUUUAAUUACUUGUUCUUCUGUAUUCUUGGCAACACUUUCAAAGCAUGUAAUAUCAUCGACAAUUCGAUAUUUUUCGAGACAAAUAUUGGGGCUGUGUUUCCUAAGAACCCAAUAUAAUGCAUCUGUUUUUGCUUUGUUCAUAUAUAUAUAUAUAUAUAUAUAUAUAUAUGUGUGUGUGUGUGUGUGUGUGUGUGUGUGUGUGUGCGAUUAUUUAUCGAUCAUUUUGGAGUUCACAGGCUUCCUAUAGAGUUGGAUUGUGCACGGUCCUUGAUGCUGCUUCGUAACGCUAGUAAUUCUGCUGUGGAGAGGAUUGAUGGCGAAUUCGAUCAGGAUCCAAACUCGCGCAAGAGAGGCGAGGGUGUAGAAGCUUUUGGGAGAAUCUCAAAUGAUCAUCGUGGUUACGGUAAUGUAGGAAAUAUACAGCCUCAUCAUCACCCAACCGGGUUCAAUAAAGAGAAGAAUACAGGGGUUCAACUAGUGCAAAAUGGGAAUUACGGAUAUAAUGGCGGACAACAUUAUCAAACUGCAAAUAGUUACUACAAUUCCAGUAGCAACGUCCCAAAUAACCAACAAUCAAUUAAUAGAGAGAGAUCCACUAAUGGGUAUAGUGGAAAUUAUCAAGAACAAACAUAUUGGGGUACUCAUGGAUAUAACAGAGAGAACCCGAGAAGUGUUAUUCCAAAUCACCGACAAUCAUUUAGCGGAGAAAACACUGAUGGUAGGCAUUAUGGUUGUAAUCAUGGACAACCAUAUGAAAAUCCUGAUGGAAAUAAUGGAAAUAACCCUAGUAACCAGCCUAGUUUUAGUGGAGAGAGAACUAUUGAUACUUAUGAGAGAUCUGAAACUUUUUAUUCAGAAAAGCCUUCUGUUUUCCAAUAUAACUACCAAGCUGGGUUUCAAACAGCAACCACUGGCCAGCCUUAUCAUAAUCAAAGUGGAGCUUAUAAAGAGAACAAUGCAGGAUUUGAUCAAGGCCCUAAUGUGAAAUAUGGUGAUAAUACAGGAAAUACCUAUCCAAAUCCAAAUAUAUACAACAGUACGAAACCAAGAGGUGAUAUACCAAGUAACCAACUAGGCUUCUCUGGAGAGACGACUACAGAUAUCUACCAGAGUCCUCAGGAGCCAACUUGGUGUAAUGGCGUGAAUCCUCUACCAGCCCAGCAGAAUAAUAUUCCAUUUCAGAGUGGGAUUGAUUAUCCUCUGCCGAUGGCUACUAGCCAAACUAAUGAGAUGUCAUUUUCUGGUGGAUCUCCGGAAAAUGUUGAAACUAGUGGUUAUAAAGGUACUGUUGAUGAACUGGAUGAGUUCUGCAAAGACAACAAAGUGAAAGAAGCCGUAGAAGUUCUGGACUUGUUAGAAAAAAACGGCGUAGUCGUGGACCUCCCUAGGUAUUUCCGGUUGAUGCAAGCAUGCGGUGAAGCUUCUUCUCUUGAGGAAGCGAAAAAAAUCCAUGAUCACAUUUCACGAAUAAUGGUCAAUGUUGAAGUCGGUGUUCACAACAAAAUUUUAGAAAUGUACACAAAGUGUGGAUCGAUGGAUGAUGCGAUAAAGCUAUUCGAGAGUAUGCCUCAGAGGAAUUUAACUUCUUGGGAUACGAUGAUAUUGGGUUUUGCUAAUAAUGGUCUUGGUGAGGAAGCGCUUGAUCUUUUUAGUGAGUUUAAGCAGUUGGGACUUAAGCCGGACAGUUACAUGUUUGUCAAUGUCUUCUUUGCAUGUGGAGUUCUAGGAGCAGUUGACGAGGGAAUGCUACAUUUUGAAUCAAUGCAAAAGGAUUUUGGCAUCAACCCUAAGAUAGAACACUAUGUGAGCAUUGUAGAUAUGCUUGGACGAUCGGGGUAUUUGGAAGAAGCCCUAGAAUUCAUUGAACAAAUGCCUGUCGAACCAAGUGUUGAUGUUUGGGAAACUUUAAUGAACCUUUGUCGGGUUAAUGGUAAUUUGGAACUUGGGGAUAGAUGUGCUGAGAUCGUUGAGCGCUUGGACCCUUCCAAAUUAAACGAACAGGCUAAAUUGGGUCUUUUACCUGUCAAAGCUUCGGACCUUGCGAAGGAGAAAGAGAGGAAAAAGGCCAAUCUUCUUGAGGUUAGAAAUAGGGUUCACGAGUAUAGGGCGGGCGAUCGAUCCCAUCCUGAACAUGAGAAGAUUUAUCACCAAUUGAGGUGUUUGUCAGCUCAAAUGAAAGAGGCCGGUUAUAUUCCAGAUACCCGAUUCGUUCUGCAUGACAUUGACCAAGAGUCAAAAGAGGAAGCUUUGCUAGCUCACAGUGAGAGAUUGGCUAUCGGUUACGGUCUUAUGACUAGUGGUGCCCGUUCGCCUAUCCGAAUUAUUAAAAACCUUCGUGCAUGUGGAGAUUGCCACACUGCUUUGAAGAUAAUCUCAAAACUUGUUGGCCGACAACUCAUUGUGCGGGAUGCGAAGAGGUUUCACCAUUUUGAGAAUGGGGUAUGCUCUUGCAAGGACUAUUGGUGAAGCAACAGCUGUAAGUCUCUGGUUUUAAUUUCCUUUUGCUGAUGAAACAUUAUACAAUAAAAAUAAGCACUUCAUUUUACAUGCAAACAGGGAAAGCUAACUACCACAAAAAGUCUUAAUCAAACAAGACAUAUAAUAAAGACAGAUAAUAGUAACAAAUUUGUCCAAUAGAAAAUUGGGUUGUUUGCAUUUUCUACUUUGUUGUAAAUGGAGAAAAAUCUUCUUAUAGCUUCUAGAUCACUACAUAGAACCAUACUAUUUGUCCUUUAAAAGGAGAAAAAUGAUACCAAUGAUACCCAUGUAAAGGACGAAGUGCUCAAUAUUGGGAAGUACCAUAGUAUUUGACCUAACCUUCAUCUCCCUUUAACGAAUAUAAUAGAUUUCUUUUGUGGCCGCUGAAUUUUCAUAUUAUGAUGGACUUAGGCUUAAAUUUCACCUAGUAUAGAAAGCAGUAAUGCGCAAUACAGGAUGAGUUUGUACAUGGAAACAUGGAUAGAAGUCUAGAACAAAUAAGUUGAAUUUAGUAGCAAUAUUGUAAAAUGCAAUGUGGAUUUCUUGGCAUGAUUUUAUUGGUUACUAUUAGCUCCUUGUGAUUACCUUACUUUAUAUUGCUGCUAACCGAAUUUCAAUUUUAUCUUUCCAGUUCAACAUGCAGAGCUUGUUUGUCCGAGCAGAAGGUUGUUCAUCCUAAUGAAUCUGAGGUUCAGUUUUGUCAACUAGAAAUCUUUUCUUCACACACAGUGAGAUAAGCUCCAACUUUUGAUUCUUUGUUUAUUCAGUACCACAAAAUCAUUUGUAGAUCCUGCUGAUUUGAAUUCAACAUAUACUUACUAAUAUUUGUACCCAUUUUAGAUUAUUGUUUAUGCCAUCAUGAUUAUGUAAAUUGGAAGAAAGGCUGGAUCAUUAAGCUCACAACAUCGGAUUUUCAAUCAUAUUUUGAGAAGUUGCUUACGGAAGUCUGACCAAGCUCAAAGUUUAUCUUUGGAGGCAACGGACCGUUGGUGUUAGCUUCUGAUUUUAUAAUUUAGUAACUUACAUAGUGUAGUUUCAUCUUGAACUCAUGUAUACCCAUGUGUUUUACCAGGGCAUAAGAAUGUCUCCUGAAUAAUCUUUUUUUUUCUUUUUUUUUUUUACCUUAUGGUAGUGAUUAUAGCAGUUUUGGUAAACUUAGUGCAUGUAAUUUUGAGAAUACAAGUUUGAUGCACUAUGCAUGGUUCGGUUAGUGCGGAAUGUUGAUCUCUUCCUAAGGACAAAUUUCUAGCUAGCUUGAGCCAAUUAAUAGGUUUUGUUUGGUAACAGCUUACAUAUUUAAUAAAUGUAUCAAACUCCGAGUCGUUUGUGCCCCGAGAAGUUUCCUUUAUUUUUUUUUAUUUUGUCAUUUCUCUUAAGAAUGUCUUCAAAUCUUGGCUUGUGAAGUACUUGGACAAUUUUACGUCGUAUGACUAUGAACUUCAAGCACGUGCAUUAGCAUUCAAACUUUUUCAUGAAUUAUUUUUUUAUUUUUUCUUUUCUCUUUUGCAUGUUGUACACUCUUCUUGUUGUCAUUCUCUGCUCUAAAUGUCUAAUCAAAUUUGUCUUGCUAACAAUCUCUUUUUGAGCUGCAAUGGUGAUAUAAAUGCUUUUCCAAGUUAGUGAUGUUCCUCAAAAGUUUCACUCAUUGGUCCUGGGGCUAAUUGAGCUCACACUUGUUUUUGUUCAUAAUGUGUAUUUUUGGGUACAACUGGAACUAUAUUUGUAUCAAUCAUUUUGGAAUUCAGUUUUGAAUCUAACCAAGUUAAAAGUUGUUUCCCUGUUUCUUUUUUUUUUUUCCUACUUGAUAGCAUGCUGUAUGUUUUGGUGAUCUCUGUAUUUUUCUCAACUCAGAUACAAAUGCUGUAGGAUUUGUGCUUGAUUUUUUCUUGAUUCAACAAUCUGUGAAGGUUCAAAAAAUUGUUUUCAGCAUUAUAUGAUACUUUUAUGCCCCCAAAUGCGGUAUGGAAUGUGAGGAAAAAGUAUUUGUUUGUUCGGUUAACAUAUAUGAUUUCUACAGUCUCUUUGGAAAAUAAAAACCUUAUCUCUCAGUGUUUUAGGGCCAAAUUCAUUUAGCCCCCACUAUGUUCUGUGCCUCUCAAGUCUAGCUAUGCUACUACAUGUUCUUUUUUCUUUUGUUUUUAUCUUUUACUGCAAUUCUUUGUGAUAGACCUUUUUGUUGUUAUGUUGUUAUUAUUGUUUGUAAACCUAAAAACUCAUCUUUUGAAAAAUAAAUAAAGAGAAAAUACAAAGCUACUAGUAUAUUAUAUUUGUUAUUUUAGUGUCAAAACGAACCCAGAUGAUACACAAACACCACUCACUGGUGCAUUGAUUUCCAUAGAUUUUAUAUAUUCAAAAGAAUAUAUAAGUUAGCAUAGGCAUUACAAAAUGAGACCUAAUCCAAGUUAGAAGAUCACAAAACCUCUCCUGGAUGGUAAAGAGAAAUCUUUGAUAGUGUCAAAUUUUCUUCUACACAAAUAUAUAGACAAAACUUUUGUUACAAAGACAGUGAUCAAAUCGAAUUCUCUCUUUUCUGUUGCAGAAAUUCGAGGUCCUUCAUUUGCCGCUCUACGGCCUCUUUUGAUAGAGUUUUUUGACCCGGAUAGCUUUUCCUCUCACCAGAAGCAAUUUGCUGUGCCAUGGAAGUAACAAUCCUAUCAAUCUUGGGUCUUCCGACUGACGGGAAUACCGCAUUCAAGAUGGUACGUAACAAUUUUGCAUCCUCUUCUUCUAUGGGAUCUUGGCCGAAGCAACACACGUAUAUGCCUUCGAGAGCUUUUUCCGCUCGAAUCUCCAUCGGAAUUUCUGGCGGUGGAGACUUCAACGUUGCACGUUUCUGCGAGUAAAUCAGAGUUCUUUAGAUAAAAGUUACUGUGCUAUAUAACAAAAAUAGCAAAUGAUACACUUGGACCAUGACUUAAAUAGGUUGACUGAGUAUAUCCAUUGAUGGACGAUAAAGGAAACUGUCUACAUUAAUGAAUAAAGACUGGAAUUUAAAAGGCAAAUGCAAUUUAAAGUUUUCUGAAUAAUUAUGAGUAUUAGCUCUGGGAUAUGGUUUUGGUGCACUUUGAAUGAUAUUUGGUUGAAUGUCAUGGGCCUCCGAGCUGUUUGGAAGCAGGAAGUCAAAAUGCAAGAAACUCGUGAGUUUUCCAAACUUGGGGGCCGACUCGGCCCCCACCCUGCUGAAGUCAAAAGGUCGAUCUCCGUACAAUUGUGAGUGAGAGUUUGGGUGUUUUCGCAACUUAGGUGUCGAAACAAACACCAUCGCAUAUGACUUUCUCGAAGUCACAAGUUAAUUGUGAGUGAGAAUUCGGGCGAUCUCACAACUUCGGUGUCGAAACAAACACCAUCGCAUGACUUUCUCGAAGUCACAAGUUCAACCUCCGAGAUCCUAAAACACAAACAGGCCCCUAGCUCUAUUGUUCCAGGGUCUCCAACACAUCAUCUUAGAAUCACAUAAUGGGAGAAAAAAUUAGCAGCUUCAAUAUGCACAUUUCAUGUUUCACCUUCUACACUCUCCAUUUAAAAGGUUCUAACCACUUGAUCGAUUCUCAAAGUGUCUUCAAAGUGUCUAUGUUCAUGCUACUAUAGCAAUCUUAUCCUAAUAUCAUCACAAUUCACAACUAGAAACAACAAACAUACAGAAACUAGAAACUUACAAACACAUGGACUUAAAUAAUAUAUGGCACUAAUAUGGCAUAUUAAUGUAUCCACGGGCUAAAUUAAUGUAAGAAUUAGUUACAUGUUGACUAAUCUACAAACAGUUGAUCUAAAACUUUUCUUCUAAAGUGUAGCUUCAAUUAGAGGAGAAGAACAAGCAGUGUCACUUUAUCAAUUUGAACACGACGUAGUAAUUCAUGUUUUAACAGGAUUAAAGAGCCAAGUAGUUCCCUUUUCCAUAAACUGCUUUGAAUGGUGAUUAGAGUAUCUCUUACACUAAUCAGAACCAAUAGCAAAGUUCCUCACAACAACAAAGAACUUAGAUAUCUAAACUUCAACAGCCGUGCACACCGCUUACCUCUUUUGCUGCAUUCAUCAUAGCUAAAAAGGUCUCCUCCUCAAACUCAAUGUCGUUGGAAAUGCGAAGCCUCGCUACUCCUUCGAAUAUCUCUUCGGACUUCAAAAGGCCAGCGCCGACGGCAGCCAACCAACAGCAUAAGAGAACGUACAACGGAUCUCCUGCCUAGCCAAAAUGAAAAGGAAGGCUCAAGUUAAUAACCAAAUAUUUAGUUCACAAAAUCUAGAGCUUGCUUCACGUAUCGUUAACAUGAAAUCAUCGGCAGCUCAAAACUCAUGGCAAAUAUAGAGGAGAAAUGCACUUAGUGAAACUACGAAACAUGCAAUCAAAAACACCGUAAAACCAUACACAAACUAAUGCAGAUAAUGACUAAACACAUUUAUUUGAAUCAAUGUAGAGACUCCACCAAUAGAAUGUACACUAAAAAACAGAGAUUUGAGGAACCACUUGAUUUAGCACUAUAUACUGCAAAAGAUCAUCGGUUAGAAACUAUACUACUUUAUCACAAUUAUAAUCAUCCAAAUCCGAUAUUAUAAGCCCUACAAUCUCACAACUUCAAAUAAUCCAAUUAAAUGGAAGGGAUUUUGGUCUUUUCUAAUAGCUACAAAAAUAAAGAAAUAGAUCAGCAAAAUGAUCCUAAUUUUUCAAAUCACCUAGCAAUUAUAACUAGCAAGAUCAAACCCAAUUACAUAAAAAUCAUAACUUGAAGUUGAAACAAGUAUGAAAAAUUAAACAGCUUCGCUCUCACAAGUAAAUUUGGUCCUAAUUUUUCACCCAAAAAAAAACAUAUAUAUUUUUUUUUGGCCCUAAAUGAUUGGUAAAUUGCUGGGUUUUAUCUGAGACGACGAACCCGGCCGCGGCGAUCUCUGAAUUCGUAGAAGGCCUGGGAGUCGGUGACGCCGCACUUCUUGCCGACGCGGCGGCGGAACUCGGCGAAGUCGACGAUGUCGUCGCCGACGCCGCCCUCGUCGGCAAAGAUCCUCGCGAGGAGCCCCACCACGGGGAGCGCCCCGAUCAACUUGCUCGCGAUGGCCCCCGCCGAGUUAGGGUUCCGCUCCAUGUACGCCGCCACCCUAAUCAUCCCUCCGCCCCCGCCGACGAGGGCGGCGGCGGAGGAGCUCCGGCGAGGGAGUAGGAGGAGGAGGCGGUUGGGUGGUAGGAGAGAGGAGGAGGUGAGCGGAGGAGGAGGAGGGUGCCUGGUUAGCGUUAGGGUUAGGGUUACCGUAGGAGCCCCCAUGGCGCGAUUUUGGGGUGGUGUGAUGGUGUGGCGCGUUAUCCUUUUCGCGAACGGAGGGGGAGUGGGAUGUGAACCCCGCACGGUGUGGUUACCGCUGUGUAACGUGACGACUGAGGUAAAAAUGUAUGGAGACCCCCUCAACUAUAGCACGUUUUGAAGUCGACUCCUCAACUAUUUUUUAUCUUUGGUAAACUUCAAAUACCACCUAUGUGGUUUCGCACGUUCUCACUUUAGUAUCCUAUAGUUUAAAAUGUAUCAAUUUAUUAUCCUAUGGUUUCAUUUUUUCUUUUCGUUUCAUUUUUCUCUUUCGUCGGCCCCUUCAUUAACUUUUCGUUAAAUCAUAUACAAAAAAUUUCAGAUACCCUACCUAUAGUUUAUUGAAUAUUCACUUUAAUACUCUUUAAUUUUAACUUUGUCAUUGAUUUAACGAAAAAAAUUAAUAAAGGAGAUAGCAAAAAAAAAAAAAAAAUCACAGGAUACGAAAGUGAUAUGCUUUAAACCACAUGAUAUUAAAAUAAAAAAAUGUGAAACCAUAGGGUGGUAUUUGAAUUUUUUUCUUUUUUUCCUCUUCAUUUAGAUCUUUAAGGCCUUAGAACUUCAAACUUUUUUGUUUAUUUGAUUUUCUAUACUUCGUUAAAUUAAGAAUGCUAAUUAUUAAUGAUCUGUUUGUAUUCGCUAAAAAGUGAUUAAAAUGAUCAAAUUUGGUGAAGUCGCUAUGACACCUUUAGCUUUCACAUUUUUAAAAUUAAGAAACUGUAGUUAAAAAAUUUAUUGAUUUAAUCAAAUCCAUUUGAUGCUUUUAUCAAACUUAACAAUUCUAAUACCUUUUAGUAAAUAAAGCUAAAAAAAUUGAUAAGAAAUGGUUGAUAUAACCAUGAAUUUUAGUAAAAUUUUCAAUUCAGUUUUAGAAACAUUGAAAGUUAAGGAGGCCUUCAUUUAAAAAAGAAAAAGAGGGUGCAAGUUUAAUAUAGAUUAUAGUUGGGGGGGUAUCCGUACAUUUUAACCUUAAUUUUUCACAAAAAUCUCUAUUUUUUUCUGAAAAAGAUCUCUUACAAUUUUUUUUUAUUAUUUCAACAGAAGCAAAAGUUUUCAAAUACAGAUACAAUAAUGAGGGGGUUUCAAAUGAAUUUGCAACCUUGUUCUGCAAAAAUGUAGCCACAAUCACAUAGAUUCCUGAUACAGAUGAAGAUACCGAUGAUUCGGCACAAUUGCAACUCACUAAACUGAGCCUGGACAAGUAACCAAACCACAGAUUAUAGCAACACAGGAAGAAAAUAUGAUCUAAAGUAGGGCUACUAUACUAUUUAUUAGUUCGAAGACCUUCAUUCUCAUAAGUUAUUUUCAAUAAUAAAACUUCUGAAUCGACGAUAUAUACCGUUAAACAUGACUGGGAGCAUUUAAAAUUUUUAGAAAAUAAAUUUCAUAAUUUUUUAAAAUUAUAAUAAAGUCUAUGAAUGAUCAAAACCGAACGACCUCAUAAAAAUAGAAGACCAAAUUUUUUAAUUUAGACCAAAUUUUUUAAUUUAAGAUCAAAAUUAUUAAUCUUUAACUAGAUUGUGGAUAAAAUUUUCUAUAAAAAAUUCAACCGAUUUUGAUUCUUUUACACUGUUAAACUAGCAAGUAUUCAAUACCGGCCGUUAAAAUAUCAAUUUUGAGAUCUUUCGAUCGAAAGGUAAAUAAUGACGAAAAAUUAUGAAAUUUGGUUUUUAAAAGUUUCAAAUGUUUUAAAUCAUGUUUAAUGGUAUAGAUCGUCGAUUUGAAAACGCUCAAUCGAAAACAACUUACGAGUACGAAAACGAUCUUGAUCAUAAGAUAACAAUACAAGUAUUUCCAGACAAGUGAGUUCCUUUUCGGUAUUCGCCGUACCGGGCUAUCCGAACAGCAUCUAUAUUUUAUCAGAGAGCAGCUGCUUGAAACCGCCCGGGCACACGGAGCAGCGGCAGCAGGACGCCGCCAGGGUCCCCCAGCUGUCCACAGGCAGCCAUCUGAUCGUCCCCACGGCUGAGCCGCAGGAAGACGACCACCCCAGCUUCGGCGAGAAUGUUCCGAAACUCUAUCAUCUUCUCUUCAGGUGUUGGCCUGAAAUGAGAACCAUCAUGGGGAUUGAAGGAGAUGAGGUUGAUCUUGCAAGGGAUUCCCCGGACGAGUUCUAUGAGCCUCUUCGCGUCGUCGAUGCUGGAGUUUCAGAUCAAUAGAUGAAAAGGAUUAUAAUCUCUAUGAAGAUUUGGCAUUAAAAAUAUGAAACUUAGCAGUAUCUUUAUCCAAUUAUAUGACAAUUGAGAGGGUGGUAGAUAAUUCCAACAAAUGUUUUCGAGGGCUACAUUGAUGAUAUCUCUAUAGGACCGGUACUGCGAUAACCCGUGUUCUUGGUUUUGUCUCAACAGUGCUUAAUUUCUUUCUGAAUAAUUAACAAAAAGUAACUAACAAGGAUUAAAAACCAAACCUGUCAUUUACUCCCGCAAGCAUGACAUAUUCGAAUAGUACUUUAUACUUGUUCUUCAGGCGUAAUUCCUCCCGUAAGGUCUCGAGAAGCAGGCUAAGAUUAUAUUUGCGGUUAAUUGGCAUAAUCCAGUUCCUUACCUGCAUUACUAUAGCAUUUAGUUUGCAAAUAAACUGAAGGAGAGUUGCUUUGAGAAAAGAAUUCACCCCUCGACAAAAAGUUACGGUCACCUCAUCUGUCGUGGCAUUGAGACUCACAGCUAACGCACAGUUAGAUUCACGAAGGAAGCGCUUCAACUGAGGGACAAGCCCGCUGGUUGAGACGGUCACUUUUCGAGGGCUAAAAUGAAGCCCUUGCUCAUCAACCAUUAUGGCCGCCGCCUUGAUUACAUUUUCUAUGUUAUGCAAUGGUUCACCCAUACCCUGCGCAAAGUAAGAGAGUGUUUUUAGUCAGAACACAUGAUAAGCACCAUUUUGAACUAAUUCUAGAAUCCCGGAAACAAUGGUAAGCAAUUUCCUGAUUAAAAAAAAAAAAGAAGAGAGAGCCAUAUUGUCACAUGUUUCUUCAAUUAAUUCAUUAAUAGAAAUAUGAUGUUACAUCAACGGAGCAACUGACUAUCAGAAAUAGUCCAAUUUCUUGAGUAAAUGAAGGCUAAUAUCACGUUCGACAGGAAACUAACAGAAAAAAAAUAAUAAUAUCAAGCAAAUGCUAUGCUGGAAAAAAAUAUAUGUAAAUAUAUAUAUAUAUAUAUAGAGUCCGGCUACUAUGCUAUCGGUAGCACGGAGCGCUCCGUGCUACCAAGUUGUUUUCGAUGAUGCGGCUUCCAAAUCGACGAUCGGCUCCGUUAGACUUUAUCUACACUAUUGAAAGUAUUUGGAAACUAAAUUUCAGAUUUUUUCGACAUCAUUUGAUUAGUGAUCAAAAGAUCUCAAAAUUGACAAUUUUAAUGGCCGAUGUGGUGUGUUUGUGAGUUUAACGGCGUAAAACAAUCCAAAUGCGAUGAAAAUUUUAUAGAAAAUUCUUUUCACUAUUUAGAGUAAGAUCAGUAUAUCUGAUCUUGAAUUUAAAUCUUUUAUCAUCAUUUUUCAUGAGAUUUUUAUUUUCAGCCGUUCAAUUUUAGACUACUUGUUUGAUAGGUAAAUGAUAUCGAAAAAUUAUGAAAUUUAGUUUCUAAAUACUUUCAAUAGUGUCGAUCAAGUCUAACGGAGCCGAUCGUCGAUUUGGAAGCCGCAUCAUCGAAAACAACUUGGUAGUACGGAGCGCUCCGUGCUACCGAUAGUAUAGUAGCCUAGUUCUAUAUAUAUAUAUAUAUAUAUAUAUAUAUAUAUAUAGAGUUGAGCUAGAAUACUCUCAAUAGUAAACGGGACAUUUUACUAUCGAGUUGUUUUCGAUGAUAGAGCUUCCAAAUUGACGAUCGGCUCCGUUGAACAUGAUCUAUACCACUUAAAGUGUUUAGAAAUCAAAUUUCAAAUCUUUUCGACAUCAUUUGCCUAAUGAUCAAAGGGUUUCAAAAUUUGUAAUUUUAAUGGUGGAUAAGAGACGUUUUCUCGUUUAACGGUGUAAAGAUAUCCAAAUCAAUUGAAUUUUUGUUAGAAAAUUCUUUAAACUAUUUAAAACAAGAUCUAUACUCUUGAUCUUGAUUACAAGACUCCUAUCAUCAUUUUUUAAAGAAUAUUCAUUUUCAGCCAUUCAUUUUUUGUUCACUAGAUGGAUAAAAGAACAAUAUCGAAAGUGCGUGAAAUUUGAUUUCUAGGUAGUUUAAAUGGUUUAGAUCAUAUUUAACGGAGCCGAUCGUCAAUUUGGAAGCUCUAUCAUCGAAAACAACUCGAUAGUAAAACGCUCUGUUUACUAUCGAGAGUAUUCUAGCUCAACUCUAUAUAUAUAUAUAUAUAUAUAUAUAUAUAUAUAUAUAUAUAUAUAUAU
rnacentral:lncRNA from 1 species